GAAACAUUCGGUUGUGCAACCGGAUCCAGUCGUCGCCAAGAAAGCUUUUGAGGUCUGAGUUCUUCACUUUCUGGACCAUGUAGCAGAUGUUGUUCAUCAUAAAGAUGUUCCGCAAUCGACCAUCCCUGUACAAUCUAGACCCGGCUUCAAGAUUUGCUUCUAAAACUGCAGCAACGGACUGCAGAUGCAGUGCUGUAGCCGUGAAAUGAGUGCAUGAGUGUGGCACAGACUGAGUGUCAGCAGAGAAAUGCUCUGCAUCCUUGAGUAGUGAAUCAAGGGUUUUGCUGUAAACAGUGACAGCCUUUAUAUAGUUCAUGACAUACUUGGUGAGGGGGUGCACUGCACCAGUAGGCACCGCACUAGAUGACGUGUAGGAUUGGAUAGCAUACUUGAAUUCCGCAAAUGUUUUGCUCGCCGAUUCUCCCAGCUGGAGUAGGACCUCGUGAUACUCAGCUAGAACCAUAUCAUUGCCCCCUGCUUGGAACAAGAACUCUGCUUCAGGGAGGAGAUCAUCCAGGACCUCAUACAUAUCAAGAAUCCGGAAAAGCUUUUCUGGCUUACAAGGUCCAAUUGCUACAGACUCAUAGAAGCUCAGAAGCUGCAUAACAGAGCUAAAUGAAAUCUCAUAGAAGCACAAGUCUACGGCUGUUCCUGAAAGGUCACCAAAGACAAGACUGCUAAGGCGCCUCUCGCUCGCAAGGUAGACUCGGACAAAAGCCUUCAUUGCCCGAUUCCACCGCUUUAUCGAUGCGCUCAGUUUGUUCCAUUUAGUGCUCAUAAGUUCUUCCAUGCUGUGCUUGUCGAUGUGAAGAGACCCAAUGAACUCAUCUAUUGCACCCUGCCGUGCAGUGAUAUAAGCCUGGCAACACUCGUUGUUGUAGUCACUCAGGAACAUGAAGUUGGCGAUGGACUUGACAGCAGAGAGUGCACCAGGUUGGAUCAAAUCAGCCACAAAAUAUUCAGAUCCUCCGCUGCUACCGGUUUGUGUUGACUUGCCUUCACUUUGUUCCUCACUGAAUGAGCUGCUUGAAAAUUCAUCCGUGCUGCCAUCCUCUGUAGAACGGAAGGAGAGAAGCUCCUGUUCUAACGGCUGUUUGUAGUACGUAAGAAGGUAAACAAACUCCUCUUCGAGCCUCGCCAUCGCCAAUUCAAAAAGGUCGUCAGCAUAUACGGUGAGUUCCUUGUGCUCUUUGGCUUCUCCACCAGGAUCCAAAUUACCCAACUUCUCAGACAGCUGCCGUAAUUUGUACAGCACUUCUAAGUACUCAAAUGAGUUCUGUGGAUCAUGAACAUGCAGGGAGUUGUGAAAAUCCAAACUAAGGAUCUUCUUUCGCAAUGCCUGGAGCGCAAGCUUAAUAUCACAUAGCCCUACUUCUUCUCCCAGCUGGAUGUUUGAAUAUUGCUUAUCUAACUCAGGAGCCAUCAUUUUGUAGAUUUAAUAUUCGGUGUCUUCCUGUUUCCUUUCCCUGCUUCACAUGUUUAUAACAAUGAUCAGGUCCAACUCCAAAUUUGGAAAAGCUUCAGAUGAAUAACACUCAAGGUAGUGAGGGUCGUAUCAUGAGAAGUAUCCCAAGACAUGGACAGUGCAAAGGUACAAAAAGUAGACACCGGGAGCUAAAUGAGCGAAAAAUAUUCAUUUGAGCACCUCGAGAGACUGAUAUACAGGGAUGUGAACACACAAUUACUAGCAAUGGUAGCAAGAGAACAUGGCAGCCCUACGGUUAAGGGUGAUAUUAUCCUCUUUUGCCCCUAGUUUAUUGUUAACCACGUAAAUCUCUUUAUUUACUCAUAUUUCAAUAAGUUGAAAACAUGAAUGCAUAUUUCCUAGGUUGGAUUUGAUUAGGCUGCCCCAGAGGCACAUAGCAGGAGCACCACUUGUCACUUCUUGCUCCCAAAACAUAGAACGACUUAUUAACUUUGAGCUAUAAAUAAUAUUCAUUAGGUAAAUUUGGUCCACAUAAACCCAAAAAAUCAGAUGAUUCAUCUGUACUUUUAGAACACCCGUUUGCUAGCAGCUCUCCGUCAGAAGUUAAGGAUACUGCCGAUUGGGUCACAGUCACUUUCAAAAAAAAAAAAAAACGACCAACAAACUAUAGCUAGAUUACUAUGCUACUUAGGAGUACUACAUGAGCUCAUCCAUAUUUACCACUUUAAAAGGAUUAGGCCAAAGUUGUUGUACUAGUUACCACUUUCUGUGAAGAUCUUCCCUACUGGAAGAGGAAAAUCCAAUACCAAGGCGAAGCACACAGAUGGUCCGUCUAAAACUCUCAAAACAACCAGUUCAGAUGCCCACCGCUACCAUACAAAACAAGCCCAAGUUCUACACCGGAGAAAAGUUAAGGAAGCAGAUGCUGCUCUCCCAAAACAAAAAGAAAAAAAGGCCCUGCUUACGCUAACCCCUUAACAGAGCAAGAGAAGGGUGGUAUGAGGAACUCACCGCAGCACUGGCGAGCUGCUGCUGCUUCGCUUUCCCCGCCCCGGCGGCCGUACUGGAGCCCGCCGGCGCAACCCAAGAUUGAUUGCAGAAUAAGUCGAGAGAGAGAGAGAGAGAGAGAGCAGAGAGAUAGAGAGAGAGAGAGAGCGGAGAAGAGGAGAGAAGAGGGAGAGGGAGACGGGAUUGGAGUGGGCAGGGGAGGGGGAGGAAGGUCAGGUGUGGGAAGGCAAGUCAAGUCAACCCGAGGGUGGCGACGGCGACGGCGACGGCGAUGGGAGCGAGACGGACCGCGGAAUGGUCCGUGGAAUGGAAUUUUGGAACGGAUGCCGUGACGCCGGGGUCUCUCUCUCCAAUCUCCAUCUGUUCCUUCACUCUUUCCCGUUCCGUUCUGAGGGGAGAAGAACACACACACACAUAGUACUAGGCUCCGGUUUUCUUUUGCCCUGUGGAAAGGAAAAGGAAAACGGAGCAAGAAGGGCGAGCUUUCGCACUGGACCGACCGGCUGCCGCUGACCGCCUGGCCGUGACCUCACAUGGACGAAUCAUCCUCCUCUCGCUCCAUUGUUUGUUCAUUUCUGGGACUAUAAUGACGUCCCUCCUACACGUCCAUAUCAAAAGUCACAAAACUAUUGGUUCCUCGAUGGCCGUCGGGCCCUGCCCUGCGAGGCGGGCUCUCUGAACGGCACGCAACAGCAAACGAUUCUCUAAACACGGCUCGGUUUCUCCGAAAGCACGAUUCGCGGUCCACGGGGGGCGAAACGAAAGGGCUCCAUACGCCAAAAUUUCGUCAUAUCGUUCGAAGUUGGAACUACAUACAUAUACAUGCAGUCCAGUCCAGUCACGCAGCAUUGGAUGGAUGGUGCUCGUAUACUUGUAAUGUAGCUCUAGCUAUUCAUUCGAUCUGGACCUGGUACCACUGCACGGAGCCCACCUCGCCGUCGACCUCGAGCUCGCACACCGACCUGACGAGGUACGAGACGGCGUCGUCCACCGUGUCGAACCUCGCGAGGUCCGGCGGCAGCGCGCCCCCCGGCCACCUCUCCAGCCACCCGCGCAGCCUCUCCUCCAGCUCCUCCUUGGACACGAACUCCUCCUCCAUCCCGGGCUCCAGCAGCACGUACGUGUCCGACUGGAUGUCCGCCCGCCUCCUCCGCGCCGCGCACUGCCAAACCAAAUUUCACGUCACAGAAAAAAAUACAGUCAUUAUCAAACACAGAAAAUCGUUGCCAUGAUUGAAUGAUUGGUCGACUCAACAGUAACGACGAUAUCCAUCUUGAACCGUUCCACGACGGAAAUGGAUGGAUGGAUGGACGGGACUCGGACCUUUGUCCCGGGGCCUCGACGUUGAAUCAUCGGCGGUCUCGUAGUGGGAGCUGCGCCGGAGAAGAAGCUCGUCAGUGCCGUCGCCGGCGAUCGCCUCUGGGCACGGGGCAGCGACCAUCUUUUGCCUGCACGUAGCGGAGUGGUGGCGCAUGAGAAAGAGAACGUUACAGGAAAUCAACCAAAUGCGGUGGCGCUCUCUUGACUACUGAUGGAAAUCGGGGAGCAUUUGACGGGUAUGCUGCCACGACUGUGCGAUCUCCCACUUUCUCGCUUUUGCCUUUUGAAAGACGGAAGCGCCGUUCAACUCAAAGGCGGGCUGCCGGCUGACCGCCGUCGAUUUUCCGUACGUACUUUACGUACCAAAGUUGGGAAGGUGCGGCAAGCUUUCUCCGAGAUAUUCCCAGACUAAAAGGAAGGCGUGUUUCCAUGAUACUUCUGUAUUCUCAACAGGACUCCGGAGCUGCUGCUAGCUACUCAUGCUCAGCUAAAGCUGGAGCGCUACAUUUCUUUGGCCAAGUUGUGCAGGUCCUGGUCAAAAGGCAGGGUUGUGAGCCAAAUAAACACUGGUCAAAUUCUCAAAGAUACAGCGUAUCAUCUGAUAACAUACGGUACCCAUCAAGCUCGCGCAAGCUGUACAAUAGUGUGCCUGUGGUUGUAUGGGACUUGCUGUGGAGAUUUUGACUGCAACCGGAAUAAAUAUCGUGUCCCACACACGGACGUCGGACAUCUGAUCAAAUCCACUAACCACAAGACAUGCGUACCCGUACGAGUUGUCAUGGCACCGAUGGGGUUAGAAGUUGACUAGACGGCUGGUUCUACCAAGCCCGUGCAAAGAUUUCCCAAAAUUCUAAGCACCUAACCUCGAGUCAAAGAUGCAAUCUAGUGCCUUGCCAGCUUGCUAGUGAACUAUAUACAUUAAUAUAUGCGGUUUUUCUCACUUCACUUUGAUGAGCGGUGCGGUUUUAAACAAAAGGAAGACCGACUGACUCUGUUUCUGCAGCUCAGCCGGCCUUGACCCCUGAUUAGCUGACUAUAGUAGUGGAGCAUGAUUUAACGCCUUCUCUUUCCUGGAUAACUACCUCGUUGGACUCUGAAACCUCCACGGCAAAGAAUAAGAUUAUAUUUCACCUAACUACGGAGUACUUGGCAAACGAUUAGCUGAGUAAGCACUGAGAAGAGCUGCGUUUACCGGUGAGCGGCGCGGUGGUGGAGGCGUAUUCCGGCAGCCGGGCCAGAGCCGCAGCCUCCAUCCUUCCGCUGCUGGAGCUGUGCGGCCUCAAAUCUUCUUUAUCCUUCAAUGGCUCAGCCCGAUACAAUUAUCCUCCCCUGCCCCUGCAUUGAGAUUGGUGAGUGGAAACGUCCAUCCAAAAAAGCCAAGAGACGACCGGGUCCUUGCAAAAUUACCAAGAAUUGACAGGGACCGCGCAACUAGCAACAAAACACAGGCUGCGGCCAGCUAGUUAUACAGCAGGGUACAAGUUGCAGACGGGUGACGCCUAUUUAGUUGAACCACAGGUCAACUGUCAACACUAAACUUUUAGUAGCUGCAUUUCAACACCAAUUCCACUUGUACAUACGAACACCAACUUGAGAGAUUGUUGAAAUGAUAUUCCAUCGGAUGUUUGAAAGUUGAAACUAUAUGCCAUUGGAUGAGCUAUACACCAACUGUUACAGUUUCGUCUGGAAACGUUUCGGGAAAAAAAAUGUUUGCUGCGGUAAUAUAUAUCUCCCCCUCGAGAUUCGGGGGGUUAAUGAAUAGGCAUACAUAAACUCGUGUUAACACUAUAUAACAGCGUAAACCAACAUCUAUUAGUGACCUUUCAAGGUCACUGCGGAUCAUCAAAUGUCGACCCAUUUUGGUCUUGCGCAUUAAUCACUGAAAAUGGCAGUGACUUUGCUGGAACACAAACUUAUUCAGCGGCCUUCGUAUGCUGCGAUCAUCUGAGCAAUUUUUAGUAGGAGGCUGCUCGCGGUUGCGUCCUUCGGGUGUGGGGUUUUCAGUUCUUGGUACUGGUGUACGCUUCCAGCGAAAUCUGUGAAUAAUCCGUCAACCCCCACCGUAUUUAUCCAGAAAUCGUACUCGGCAUAGGGAUCCUGAUGGAAGUUGAAGUGCAGAAACUGGUUCUCGUUCCUGUAUGUGUAAGGGUGUACCUGCAGAAACGAUGGAAUGCAGUUUCAUAUGCGUCCAGGUGCAAACUACGUGCCAUCAAAUCGUGGUUGACAUGUAUUUAGGGUAAUAAUUGGGCUAUUCGGGAUCACUUAUAGCGGUCUUAAUAAGCUAAUGAUAGUUAAAUCUGACCUUAUGAAGAUAUAUUUCAGUGGUCAGUUUGUCAGAACUUUAAAUGAGACGCUGACCAAGGGGGGCAAAGCUGAGAGUUCCUGAUGCAGAUGUCGGAGUCAUAUCAUGUGUUUUCUUCCAAUGAAUUCAGCCAACGAUUGGUCAAAUCCUAAUAAUGAGAUAAAAUAUAGAUAACCAUGACAUUUCAUUCAUUCUUGUGGUGAUUCAUACUUUCAGAGUGACCAAAAGGCACUUAAACAAAACAAAUGCUUUAGGUGGUCUGAACUUACGUCGGACUAACAUGAUUUACUUUAUGAGCAUGCAUGUAAAUAGUAACUCUAGACAACUGUAAGGAAUACAAACAAAUAUCAAACCUGCAGAUUAUGAGCAUGCGCUCUUGCAACAAGAUCAGUUGGUUCCAGCAUAUAGUUUUUUGCAACUGGAACAAUAGUAUCUUUCCACGGACCGAGGCCGACAACAUAGUUACUAAUAUAUGCAAGGUAGUCAUCUGAAGUGAUUUCCGAGUAUGACUGCAAGCAAAAAAUAACAUAAGUAAUAUCCAUACAAUCAGAUGCUUCUGCUGAAGUUGCAAAAAACACCAUAAGUACAUACUACUCGUGUUUCUUCCAUACAAUUCACAUUGCUGUAGUAUAAAAUAAAUUUUAUUACUCAAGAUCUAUACCUGGUUUGUGUCUUGUGUUCUCACUGUGAUAUCAUCAAUCAGAAAGAUCUUCGGAGAGUCUGUCAACUUUGAUACAUGUACAAGGGAAGAGGGAGCAAAUGAUUGUAUAAACAAUGGCUGUUUUAGCCAAUUUUCGGACAUAUAUUGACCCCUGUAUCCGUACUUUAGUAAGGUAUCCACAAAUUUGUCCUCAAACUUCUUUCCAUCUGCCCACUUUACCUGUCAAGAGAAGAAUACAAGCUCACUGCUUGAAGCACUUCAGAAAUUGGAAAAUCCGCCUAAGAUUGUACUGAAUAAAUUCAAAGCUUUUGAAUUGUACAGCUCAUCAAAGUUAAGGUAGAGUACUUAAAUAUAUCAGCUGCAGCAUUGUUCUCUCCACCCAUAUACUAUCAAAGAUCUUUGCAAAAGCUAAUCCAUUCCCUACCAUAACCAUUUUCAUAGCAAAUUUCCAUGUAGCUUCUAAGCACAUUUCUUGCCAGAAAAGGCUUGAUUAGAGAAUUACGAGAAUCCUUAAAGUACCCUAUUGCUUAUUGAGAACAGGGAGACUUACGUGCUUGUUGAUAAAAACUGGAUCUUUUAUCUCUGGAUAUAUUCCAACGGUUCUGCUUGCAUCUAAGGCAAUUGAAAUGAAUUCUUCAAAUGUGAUGAUUGAAAAUUUGCCUGCAUGUCCAGACAAUAUCAUUGAUGAUUCUUAAUUCACAAAUAUGCCAUCAGACUGCAUCUUUCAGAUUAGUUCAUGUAUUUUGUCAGUUUAAAUAACUGAAAUGUCAAAUGGGUCUACUACAAAAAAGAGCAUGCUAGUUUAAAAAAAUAAAAAAAUUUGAAAGAAACUGACAAAGUAAAGAAAAAACACAUUUUGGAGAAGACUAAAAUACAUACAUCAACCAUGGAAUAAAGUCCCAGGUAUUAGUUAGUGGGAACUGGAAGGCAGGUUAUUGAACAGAGAACUAGUAGUAAUUAAUUACUACACCUCUGAGCUUUCUAAAAAAACAAAAGAAUCUGUUAUGACCGGUACAACGUACCAACGGAGGAGGCCCAAUGGGCAGGGUUAAUUACGGGCUUAGCCCAAGUUAUCUUACCUAUCUUAGAAGUCCAAGUUAUAUUAGAGUCCAAGUUAUAUUAGAGUCCAAGUUAUCUAGGGUUUAGUGAAGGCUGUCCUCCUUUAUAAACACAUGUACCCCUUCGAUAUUAAUCAGACAAUAAACAGUAUAUUCUGUUGUCGUCUCCUGCCAAACCCUAGCCGUCUCUCUCUCUCUCUCUCUCACGCCGCGACGGCGCCCCGCCGCCGGCGCCGGCGUCCCCAACCUCGCAGCCCGCACUUCCACCCCUACAACCUACGUCCGAGACCUGGUAAAACCCUAGCCUCUACCAAUUUGGUAUCAGGUAGCUUGGGUUCGAUGAGUUUGUCGGACCUUCCCACCACCACCGCCGCCGCCACCACCGCCUUCCCCGCCACCUCACAGCAGCCGCCGCCGCCGCACCACUCAACGCCGCCGGCCACCUCAGGUCCGGCCGCCUCCGGUCCCGCGGCCCUGGCGGCCGAACCCGCCCCCGUCCUCUCCCCGGCGGAGAUGUCCUCAGCGAUCCGCGACCUCAACCUGGCGGUCUCGAACCUCCGGACUCUCCUCCAGGCUCCGUACGCAACCCCGCCACCACCGCCUCCGCCGGCGGCGCCCUUCGCGCCACCGCCCCCGGCGACUGUCGUGCCCCAGGGCCUGCCGAUCACCCAGGUCCGGUGGCCGCCGUCGCCGUCCCCGCUACCGACGUGGAUGGACACGCCGACCUACACGACGGCGCCACUACAGCUGACGGUGUUGCAGCCACCCGCCCCCACCUUCGGGGGGUUCGGCGGGUACACUGAUCCGUACGCCGGGAGCUCCGUGGUGCCGCAACACUCUCCUUCCGCCGCGCUGGGCCGUCACGAGGGCACCUACGCGGCCUCGCCACACGUGCAGCAGCCACCCCGCUUCACCAAGCUGGAGUUCGCCACCUACGACGGCACCGUCGACCCCCUGAACUGGCUCAAUCAGUGCGACCAGUUUUUCAGGGGGCAGCGGACCAUGGCGUCCGACCGCACGUGGAUCGCCUCCUACCACCUCCGUGGCGCCGCCCAGACUUGGUACUACGCCCUCGAGCAGGACGAGGGCGGGAUGCCUUCAUGGGAGCGCUUUCGCGACCUGUGUCUCCUCCGGUUCGGCCCCCCCAUACGUGGGAGCCGCUUGGCCGAGCUCGGUCGCCUUCCCUUCACCACCUCGGUGCAGGACUUCGCCGACCGCUUCCAGACGUUGGCCUGCCAUGCGCCUGACGUCACGGCUCGCCAACGCGCCGAGCUCUUCGUCGGCGGCCUUCCCGACCACAUCCGCAUCGACGUCGAGAUGCGCGACCCCCAGGACCUGCAGACGGCCAUGUAUUACGCACGCGCGUACGAGCAGCGCGCCAACGCCCUGCAGCAUGCGUUCCCGGGCCGCGGCACGCGUUCCCCGACCCGCCCCGCCCCGACGGCCGCCACCCCGACACGCCCCGCCCUGCCGGCCGCUACGGCGGCUGCCCCCGCGCCGACACGCACCUUCCGACGCUUGACGUCGGCCGAGCAGCUCGAGCGGCGCCGCAAGGGCCUGUGCUUCAACUGCGACGAGCCGUAUGCGCCGGGUCAUACGUGCGCCCGCCUGUUCUACUUGGAGACCGUCGACGACGCGGAGGUGGAGGCCCUCACCGCGGAGCUCGACGCCACCACACUCUCCGAGGCCGGCGUCACGACCUACGGGCCGGUCGACGCGACCGCCUUCGUCGUCUCCCUUCAUGCCAUGGCUGGCAUCAAGACGGCAAAGACGAUGCUGCUUCCGGUGACGAUCAACGGGGAGCGUCUAACCGCGCUCGUGGACACGGGUUCGACGCACAACUUCCUGUCCGGGGACGCCAUGCGUCGCCUCGCACUCCAACCGACGGGCUCGGAGAAGUUCAGCGUCACCGUCGCCAACGGGGACCGCCUUGCUUGUCAGGGGGUGGCGCGGCAGGUUCCCGUCCUCAUAGGCGACGAGCCGUUCUCCAUCGACUGCGUCGGCAUCGACCUGGGCUGCUACGACUUCAUCCUCGGCAUCGACUUCCUGUCCACUCUCGGCCCAUCCUUUGGGACCUCGAUGUGCUGUCCCUCAUCUUCUGGCGCGAGGGCGGCCGUCGCGUUCAGUGGACAGGCAUCGGCGGCUCCGGCGCCGUGACUCCACAGCUCCAGUUGAUGGCGUCCGCACUGGACGAGGCGCAUCCCCUCCUGGCCGACCUCCUGCAGCAGCACAGCGACAUCUUCGACGAGCCACAGGGCCUCCCUCCCGUGCGGCCCUGUGACCACCGCAUCCACCUGCUGCCGGACACGGCACCUGUAGCCGUGCGUCCGUACGGGUACCCUCAGCUGCAGAAAGACGAGCUCGAGCGUCAGGUGGCGGUCAUGCUCGCGCAAGGCAUCAUCCGGAUUUCGACAUUGCCGUUCUCCGCCCCGGUGCUCCUUGUGCGCAAGUCCGACGGCACAUGGCGCUUCUGCAUCGACUACCGCACCCUCAACGCCCUGACGUCCAAGGACAAGUUCCCCAUCCCCGUCGUGGAUGAGCUCUUGGACGAGCUACACGGAGCGCACUUCUUCACCAAGCUCGACCUUCGCUCGGGCUACCAUCAGGUGCGCAUGCACCCUGACGACAUCGAGAAGACGGCGUUCCGCACUCACCAUGGCCACUUCGAGUUCCUGGUGAUGCCGUUCGGCCUCUCCAACGCGCCGGCGACCUUCCAGGCCCUGAUGAACGACGUGCUCAGCCCAUACUUGCGCCGCUUUGUGCUUGUUUUCUUUGAUGACAUUCUCAUCUACAGUGCAUCUUGGGCGGAGCAUCUACAACAUGUGGCCAUCAUCUUCAACGAGCUUCGAGCGCAUCGUCUUCACCUCAAGCGCUCGAAGUGAUCGUUCGGCACGACCUCCGUCGCGUACCUGGGGCAUGUCAUCUCGGCGGACGGGGUAGCGAUGGACGCGGACAAGGUCGCCGCCGUCGCCGCGUGGCCGAUCCCGCGGUCACCACGGGCGCUCCGCGGCUUCUUGGGCCUCGCCGGCUACUACCGGAAGUACAUCCGGGACUUCGGCCUCAUCGCCGCGCCACUGACGCGUCUCCUUCGACGCGACGCCUUCUCCUGGGACCAGGAGGCGACUACGGCAUUCGAGGCUCUCCAGCGGUCGCUCACGACGGGACCCGUCCUCCAGAUGCCGGACUUUGAUAUGCCCUUCAUCGUGGACUGCGACGCCUCUGGCAUCGGCUUCGGCGCCGUCCUUCACCAGGGCGAGGGACCGCUCGCCUUCUUCAGUCGCCCCUUCGCCGCUCGCCAUCACAAGCUCGCGGCCUACGAGCGCGAGCUUAUUGGGCUGGUUCAGGCGGUACGCCACUGGCGGCCUUAUCUUUGGGGCCGGUCAUUCCGUGUGCGCACGGACCACUACAGCCUCAAGUUCUUGCUGGACCAGCGCCUCUCCACAGUUCCGCAACACCAGUGGAUCAGCAAGCUCUUUGGCUUCGACUUCACCGUUGAGUACCGCCCCGGCCGUCUCAACACGGUCGCCGACGCCUUGUCCCGCCGCGACACUGAGGAUGUCGCGGAGGACGUCGCCAUGGCUGGCACUAUCAUGUGCAUUCGCUCCGGGCCAUCUUUCGCCUUCAUCAACGACAUUCGCCAGGCAACUUCGACGGCCGCGGACGCCCAGGGCCUGCACCAGCGCCUUGACGCCGGCGAGCUGGACGCGCCCUGGCGCUUGGACGAGGGGCUACUCCUACAUGGCCGCCGCAUCUUCGUGCCCGACCAUGGCGACCUGCGCCAACAGGUCCUGACCUUGGCGCACUCUGCAGGGCACGAGGGCGUGCAGAAGACUCUCCAUCGUCUCCGUGCUGAUUUUUACAUCCCCGGUGAUGGCGCGAUGGUCCGCAACUGGGUGCGGUCGUGCGUGACGUGCCAGCGGAACAAGACGGAGACACUACGACCCGCGGGUCUACUGCAGCCGCUGGACGUACCCUCCCAAGUGUGGACGGAUAUUUCCAUGGACUUCAUCGAGGGCCUUCCCAAGGUGGGCGGCAAGUCCGUCAUCCUCACGGUGGUUGACCGCUUCUCCAAGUACGCGCACUUCAUCGCCCUGGGUCAUCCAUAUACAGCCGCCUCCGUGGCGCGGGCCUUCUUCGACGGCAUCGUCCGCCUCCACGGUUUUUCGUCGUCCAUCGUCAGCGAUCGUGAUCCCGUGUUCACGGGACAUGUCUGGCGGGAUCUCUUUCGACUGGCGGGCGUGAAGCUCCGCAUGAGCACAACGUUCCACCCUCAGACAGACGGCCAAUCCGAGGUGGUCAACAAGGUGAUCGCCAUGUACCUGCGCUGUGUUACUGGUGAUCGUCCACGAGCUUGGGUGGACUGGUUGGCGCGGACGGAGUACUGCUACAACACCUCCUAUCACUCCGCCCUGCGCACCACGCCUUUCGAGGUGGUCUACGGGCGCCCACCUCCGGCGAUGCUCCCUUACGAGCCUGGGACGGCUCGGUCCGAGACGGCGGGCGACUUACUCCACACCCGCGACGACAUUCUGGCUGAGGCACGCCAGCGUCUUCUCCAAGCACAGCAGCUGGCUCGGAAGUACUACAAUGCUCAUCAUCGCGAGGCGGAGUUCGCGGUGGGCGAUUGGGUGUGGCUGCGCCUCCUCCACAAGACCACACAGUCUCUGGACCCGCGCUCCAAGCGCAAAUUGGGACCUCGCUACGCCGGUCCCUUUCGUGUGCUGGAGCGUGUCGGCACACUCGCAUACCGCGUGGAGCUGCCAGCUGGUUCUCGCCUCCACGACGUCUUCCAUGUCGGCUUACUGAAGGCCUACCGCGGGGACCUUCCUGCAGCGACACCGGCCCUUCCUCCUACUUCGGAUGGCCGCAUCCUUCCAACUUCCGCACAGGUGGCGAAGGUGCUACAGGCACAGCAGCGUCGCGGCGUCUGGCAUGUCUUGGUACAAUGGACCGGCCUGCCAGAGGAGGAAGCGACUUGGGAGAAGCUCGACGAUUUCCGCCAGCAGUUUCCAGAUGUUCAGCUCGAGGACGAGCUGUUUGAGAAGGCGGGGAGAGAUGUUAUGACCGGUACAACGUACCAACGGAGGAGGCCCAAUGGGCAGGGUUAAUUACGGGCUUAGCCCAAGUUAUCUUACCUAUCUUAGAAAUCCAAGUUAUAUUAGAGUCCAAGUUAUAUUAGAGUCCAAGUUAGAGUCCAAGUUAUCUAGGGUUUAGUGGAGGCUGUCCUCCUUUAUAAACACAUGUACCCCUUCGAUAUUAAUCAGACAAUAAACAGUAUAUUCUGUUGUCGUCUCCCUCAGGAGACGAGAGCCCCAAACCCUAGCCGUCUCUCUCUCUCUCUCUCACGCCGCGACGGCGCCCCGCCGCCGGCGUCCCCAACCUCGCAGCCCGCACUUCCACCCCUACAACCUACGUCCGAGACCUGGUAGAACCCUAGCCUCUACCAGAAUCCCUCCAAAUUGAUUCUUUUUUUAGGCUCUGAAUACAUACUUUUUACGAGGCUCUAAGUUUAUUUUGGAUGUACAAUACCUUCAUUCGUAGAGAGGAUAAUAUGACCACGAUAAAGAAAAGUAAAAGUAGAAGCUCAAGGACACAGUAACAUACCAUUAUAUUGUUGAUCUCUGAAUGGGUAUCGCUGCUUCACUUUAAGUGUUUUAAGUUCCUCAAGCGUGAAAUCCACUGCAUGUGGACACCUAAUUAUCAGAAAAAUCAAGAAAUAAUAGGUUCACAGGUUUACCAUUCACAUUCAGUUCAUAUCCUCAGCAAUAUGCAGGUAGUGUCAGUUCAGCAGCAGGUGCAGAUAAACCAAUAUGAUAUUGUCAUGAUUUAUCAACCACAGAGCUAUUUGUCAAAUUAAUGUUGGCAGAAUGCCAGCAGGCAAUGGUUCUAGGACAUCAUGCACGAAGUAGUGUCAACUUUCUAAAUUUGAGUAAAGGAAUAAUAAUUUGAUAUAUUUUUCUUGCAUUACAUACCUAACUUUUGAUGCUGCAAAUAUAUAUCCGAACAGAUUUAUAAUAAUGAAUACAGAAACAGGGUUGGUUAUAAUAAGCACACCUACAAACCAGCCAGUAACGUUGGCCCAUUCCACCUCGUAGGUUCUCCUUCGAUUGGCGAACUCCUUAUGGACGGAAAUAUCAGUUGUAUCAUCAAGUGUCACAUCAUGAAAGCAGAUCAAUGCACCAUCUUUGCUAGCAAGGAUGUCAGUCUCUAUAAAAUCUGCACCUUCUUCAAUAGCCCUCUGCAACAGUUUUUUUGUCAUGAAACAUAAUUUUCCAACGGCGAAAAAUCACAUGAUUGAAACUUAUCAGAAUUGAGUUUUGUAGCAUUUGCAAUGGUCAAUUUAAGAAAUCUAACCAUCCAGUGAUAUAUCCUCUUAAUAAGGGUAUCAUCUUCCAUAUGCAAAAAAGAGAUACUAUUUUAUUUGUCAUGUAAAUUCUAUGAGCUGUACCAGGUAAGCAGCACUUGUUUCCUCCGGGAUUUCCCCAUUUGAGCCACGGUGAGCAAUAUUAUACGGUCGAAAUGUCUGUAUUGGCUUCUUCUCUUCAUUACUAGUCUUACUUGGCAGUGGAAAGAAUGGUCUAGCAAUGGCCACAUGUAAUAGUAGCAGAAGAAGAAAAGGAACAUGACCUGCCAAGGAUGAUAACAGAACUAAAAUAAGAUAGCUUGACAAAAGUUAAUUUUUCAUUGUGAUCUUUGUAGACAGUUUAGAAAUAAAUGUUAAAUAUUUAACACUGUUAUUAGAAUCCUCAUAUCCAGUCCGAACAGAAGAGUUCAACUAUAUUCUAACAGUGACAAAUAUAACUACCACAGAGAGCCCUCUGAAUUUUUUUUUUAAAUAGCCAUGAGAACAUGCAAUACUGAAAACAUUACAUGGCGUCAAAUAUGGGUAGUGUCAAAACUAUCACAGGAGAUAAAUUGAAUCAAACACUUCCACAGAAAAUUAUUUAAAGACAAAGUCCAUGAAGAUUCAUUAUAAUUGGAAACGAGUUAGCAUAAGUGCACAGAUUUAAUUUGGUGUUAUAUGGAUAGGAUAUGUAGAAGGAUGGAUGCUAUAUGCAGAAGACGCGAGUAACCAUGAUAUAUGCAAUGGGAGAAGAAACUAAUCUAGCUGCUCUCCUCCCUUUAUUUUCUAUACUUCUGAACAUAUUGAUGAAAGAAUAUGCACGUUGUGCCGUGUGUUUCUGUUUUCAGGGCUUGUUGAGCUGUGCCCUCAGCAUUAACCCUUUUCGUACCUUCUGUGUGUUUGUACUAACUUUUCGAGUGUGUGUGUGUGGUGUGAACCUCUGUGUGGAUGUUGUGGCUCGGGCGGUUUGCUUUAUAUAUAAAGUGGGGCGAAAGCCUUUUUCGGUAAAGAAUAUGCACGUUUGCACUAUGGAUACAGCCAAUGAAAGAUUCUUCAUGGACUAGCAUUGUUGAAAAGAAGUGAAAUCCUCAGUUUUUAAUGUUUAUAAUUUCUUGGUUUCAUUUAUGUUGCAUUACAUAUUGUGCAGGUCAUAAUUCACACGAUCGAGUUUGUGUGUUUCUUCUGUGGCACUUGUUUAGAACUUAUCUUGAAUUUUUUUUAAGAUAAUGUCAGCGCUUCCCACACCAACAAUUUCGGUUAAAGAAAGCACUAACAUCAGGAGUUCACAGCAAGUUCCACUGCAUGAAGGAAACGAAGAAAAAAAACUCUUGGCAUAGCAUAACAUAUAUCAAAUGAGGGAAAAUCUGAGACCAGAAACUUGUCUGUAUAUCCUGCAGGCUGCAGCCUAAAUGUGAGCACCCUGGUCCAGUUUGCCCGACCAAGCAACAGUUUCCCCACAAAUAUAAAGCACUAAACCGGCAUGAUAUAAAGCACUAAACGGGAGUAAUAAAAAUAGUAAUGCACCUAACAUAGCACUACCAGUCUACCACUAACACUGCAGAAACUGUACAGAAUCGCGCGGACUAGCGCAACCCCUAGAGCACGUUCGUUGGCUAGUUGCCGCCCACCCCAAUCCUAGCAGAGACUUCUGUGGUCCUAAUCUGCACAAAAUAGCAGCCAUUGCCUAAUUGCCUUAUCACGGAUCACCUCAAUUCGUGCCUGCACAUCGCCGCUACACAGUUUAUCUGUCAACCGAGCGUGUGGGCGUCAGAAAAAUACGCACAGGAGGAGAAAGGGGAGGAAUAGCUCUGGACGGGCUCGAUAGAUCGCCGCGGCGGGGAAGUAUCGGGGGCGAAGGCCAGCUAAUCGAAUAGGGGGGAAGGGGGCGUUACAGAGGGACGGACGCAUAGUGCUGCUGCUUCGCCCGCUGCGGUUCCGAUAUCAGCGGGAGGCGAGCAGAGGCGGAGACCCGAGAGCUUGGCUCUAAUGGAGCGAGGAGGACGACGACGGCACGGCCGGGCCCCUCCCUCUCUCUCUCUCUCGCUAUAUUCGCUCCCGCUUUUUCUUUCUGGCACGCCGUUAACGUGCCAUCCUCUUCUUCCUCCCGUUUUUUUAAUCUUCUGGGCGCCCGUGACGGGGACGUAUAUACGCCCACCGAUGCUGCGCUCCCACGUUGGCGGAAUAUUCGGAGGACAACCUCUUUUGAUUUUGAUUUUGAAACUCGUGGGACAAUCUCUUUGGGAUGAACAGCUAGUGUUGAUGGGAUUAUGUAGGACAGCAGGAGCACUUGGGGAGUCGGGAUACGAUCCGUGUUACCUCGCUUACAUGCGGGCCCCCCGUAUAAACAGCCGAUCUUUGGAUAGCGGUGUGAGCCGUGCCGGCCUCUUUCCGGCCGGUGUGUGGGGGGCGACUAGCGACGGGCCGUGUGCGGCGAGCCCGCGUGGAUUAGCGGAUACGCUCGUGGUUCGAUCGUCUACGGCCUGCCUUUUAUUUUUCAUGCUUGUAUUUAGUCUUUUUGUCACAAUACAAUCACUCACAUGCACGGACAUACAAUCAGCAGCCCUACGAACGCAUGCAUGUACAUUUUAUUUUUAUGAACACCUUCAAGAAACUGAGUCAACAUAUUAUUUUUAGAUUGAUAAAGUUGUCACACACGUCUUCGUAGGCGACGGAACGUCUCCUUCCACUCAACGCACAUCGACGAAAGACCUAAAAUAAAUCCAUGAAAAUACGAACUUCAUUGUCAAGCUUGAAACUUGAACUCUGAUGGAUAAAGAAUAUCACCGUCUUUCUAACUAUCUAAUCACAUAUUGAUUCGUCCUUAUAUUUAGUUGGGAUUAGCAUCAUUCGUACAAAAUUAGUUAACACUCCAACAAAUGUAUCUAAAUUUGUAAAAAAGUUAUAGUAAAAAAAGUUAUUUCAUAAAAAGUAUAAGAGGAGUCCACGAGCUGUUGGAAAUAUGCCCUACACGUAAUAAUAAAUUAGUUAUUAUCAUAUUUUCUUGUUCAUGAUAAUCGUUUAUUAUCCAUGUUAUAAUUGUAUUGAUUGGAAACUCACAUACAUGUGUGGAUACAUAAACAACGCGAAGUCCCUAGUAAAGCCUCUACUAUACACUAGUAGGAGAAAUGCUACCAGUAGCGCUGGUUUGUCCCUUACUAGUAGCGCUGGUGCCAGCACUACUUCAAUUGCACUACAGCUAAUCUGUUAGCAGUAGCGCUGUUUUAUCCAGCGCUACUGGUAUACACAUUAGCAGUAGCGCUGGAGCAGAUAAAGCGCUACCGAAAACCCAGCGCUACUGCUAAUGUUACUGCUUUCAAUGUUUAAUUCCUGUCGUAUUAGUAGCGCCAUUAUACAUGUUUUCAUACAGUAUCAUCAUAAUACAUCAUUGUCAUAUAACAACUCUUCAUCAUCAUCAUUUUCGUCCAUGAUACAUCACUAAUUGUUCUUAAUACCUAGACUAGCUCAUUGAUCAAAGAUGGUUAAAAUUUCCUAACCAUAGAUAUGAGUUGUCAUUUGAUAACGGGAUCAUAUAUCAUUAGGAGAAUGAUGUGAUAGACAAGACUCAACCGUAAGCAUAGCAUUUAAUUGUAUGACUAAGUUUAUUGCUAUUACUUUCUCCAUGUCAAGUAUCUGUUCCUAAGACCAUGAGAUCAUGCAACUCCCUCACACUGGAAAAUACGUUGUUUGUAUCUAACAUCACAACAUAACUGGAUGAUCAUAAAGAUGCUCCUACAGGUAUCUCCGAGGGUGUAUAUUGGGUUGGCAUGGAUCGAUGUUGGGAUUUGUCACUCCGUAUGACGGAGAGGUAUCUCUGGUCCCACUCGGUAAUACAACAUCAUAAGAAGUUUGCAAGCAAUGUGGCUAAGGAGUUAGUCACGGGAUCUUGUAUUACGAAACGAGUAAAGAGACUUGCCAGUAACGAGAUUGAACUAAGUAUGGAGAUACCGAUGAUCGAAUCUCGGGCAAGUAAAAUACCACUCGACAAAGGGAACUGCAUACAGGAUUGACUGAAUCCUUGAUAUCGCGGCUUGGCCGAUAAUGAUCUUCGUGAAAUAUGUGGGAACCAAUAUGUGAAUCCAGGUCCCGCUAUUGGUUAUUGACCGGAGAGGUGUCUCGGUCAUGUCCACAUGAUUCUCGAACCGAGAGGGUCCGCACGCUUAACGCUCGAUUGCCGCUAGAGUAGUAUUAGGAUAUGCAUGUUAGUGAUUGAAUCUUGUUCGAAGUCCCGGAUGAGAUCUCCAACGUCACGAGGAGUUCCGCAAUGGUCCGUAGGUAAAGAUUUAUAUAUGGGAAGUCCUAUUUUUGGCUACUGGAAAAGUUUCGAGCAUUAAGGGUAGUGUACCAGGGUGCCGAAAGGGUUCCGGGGGUCCACCGAGGGGUCCACCUGCCCCGUGGGCCCACAUGGGCUCUAAAGGUUGUGCCCUAUCCGCCCUAGGCUAGGAGCACCAUCCCCUAGAGGCGAAAUUGGCUUGGGGGCAAGAGUCCCAAAGGGACAGGGAACCCAGGAGGUGCCUUGGAGGAGGGGGACUCCUCCCUUUCUUGUGGAGGGAGGACUCCACCCUAGCCGCCGGCCCUCCUUGGAGGAGGGGCCAAGGGCUGCGACCUAACCCUACCCCUUGCCUCCUAUAUAUAUUAGAGGAGAGGGGGAGGGUUGGAUACAACAAUUCCCGUGCCGUGCGGCCUCCCCUCUCUCCCGUUCUUCCUCGUUCGCAGUUCCGGAGGUGCUUGGCGAAGCCCUGCUCGGAUUGCUCCACCGUCAUCUCCACAAUGUCGUUGUGUUGGUUGAGAUCCCAUCUACUUAUCCUCCCUAUCUUGCUAGAUCAAGAAGGAGGACACGCCAUCGAGCCGCACGUAUGCUGAAUGCGGAGGCGCCGUCCGUUCGGCGCUAGAUCGGGAUGGAUCGCGAUUGGAUCGUGAAGACGUACGACUACAUCAACCGUGUUUCUUAAUGCUUCCGCUUAGCGAUCUACAAUGGAAUGUAGAUGCACUCCCCCUCUCGUAGAUGUUGAUAUCCAUAGAUAGAUUUUGGGUGUGCUAAGGAAAAUUUUUGUUUCCCAUGCAAUGUUCCCCAACAGUGGCAUCAUGAGCUAGGUCUGUGUGUAGAUAAUAUGCACGAGUAGAACACAAAGUGUUUUUGGGUGUUGAUGUUCAGAUUGCUUACUUGCUUAGUCUUAUCUUGAUUCGACGGUAUCGUGGGAUGAAGCGGCCCAGACCAACCUUACUCGUCCACAUACGAGAGACCGGUUCCAUCGACUGACAUGCAACUUGUUGCAUAAAGAUGGCUCGCGGGUGUUUGUCUCUCCCACUUUUGUUGAAUUGCAUGUUGGAAAUAUGCCCUAGAGGCAAUAAUAAAUUAGUUAUUAUUAUAUUUCUUAGUUCAUGAUAAUCGUUUAUUAUCCAUGCUAUAAUUGUAUUGAUUGGAAACACAAUACUUGUGUGGAUACAUAGACAAAACACUGUCCCUAGUAAGCCUCUAGUAGACUAGCUCGUUGAUCAAAGAUGGCCAAGGUUUCCUGGCCAUAGGCAAGUGUUGUUACUUGAUAACGGGAUCACAUCAUUAGGAGAAUCAUGUGAUGGACUAGACCCAAACUAAUAGACGUAGCAUGUUGAUCGUGUCAUUUUGUUGCUACUGUUUUCUGCGUGUCAAGUAUUUAUUCCUAUGACCAUGAGAUCAUAUAACUCACUGACACCGGAGGAAUGCUUUGUGUGUAUCAAACGUCGCAACGUAACUGGGUGACUAUAAAGAUGCUCUACAGGUAUCUCCGAAGGUGUUAGUUGAGUUAGUAUGGAUCAAGACUGGGAUUUGUCACUCCGUGUGACGGAGAGGUAUCUCGGGGCCCACUCGGUAAUACAACAUCACACAUAAGCCUUGCAAGCAAUGUAACUUAGUGUAAGUUGCGGGAUCUUGUAUUACGGAACGAGUAAAGAGACUUGCCGGUAAACGAGAUUGAAAUAGGUAUGCGGAUACCGACGAUCGAAUCUCGGGCAAGUAACAUACCGAAGGACAAAGGGAAUGACAUACGGGAUUAUACGAAUCCUUGGCACUGAGGUUCAAACGAUAAGAUCUUCGUAGAAUAUGUAGGAUCCAAUAUGGGCAUCCAGGUCCUGCUAUUGGAUAUUGACCGAGGAGUCUCUCGGGUCAUGUCUACAUAGUUCUCGAACCCGCAGGGUCUGCACACUUAAGGUUCGACGUUGUUUUAUGCGUAUUUGAGUUAUAUGGUUGGUUACCGAAUGUUGUUCGGAGUCCCGGAUGAGAUCACGGACGUCACGAGGGUUUCCGGAAUGGUCCGGAAACGAAGAUUAAUAUAUAGGAUGACCUCAUUUGAUUACCGGAAGGUUUUCGGAGUUACCGGGAAUGUACCGGGAAUGACGAAUGGGUUCCGGGAGUUCACCGGGGGGGGGGGGGGCGAACCCACCCCGGGGAAGCUCAUAGGCUUUGGGGGGACACACCAGCCCUUAGUGGGCUGGUGGGACAGCCCCAAGGGGGCCUAUGCGCCAAGAAUAAAGAAUCAAAGGAAAAGAAAAAAAAAGAGGGAGGAAGUGGGAAGGGAGGGGGGACUCCUCCCACCAAACCAAGUCCAACUCGGUUUGGGGGGGGGAGUCCUCCCCCCCUUGGCUCGGCCGACUCCUUGGGGGUCCUUGGACCCCAAGGCAAGGCCCCCCUCCCUCCUCCUAUAUAUAUGGAGGUUUUAGGGCUGAUUUGAGACGACUUUCUCACGGCUGCCCGACCACAUACCUCCAUAGUUUUUCCUCUAGAUCGCGUUUCUGCGGAGCUCGGGCGGAGCCCUGCUGAGACAAGAUCAUCACCAACCUCCGGAGCGCCGUCACGCUGCCGGAGAACUAUUCUACCUCUCCGUCUCUCUUGCUGGAUCAAGAAGGCCGAGAUCAUCGUCGAGCUGUACGUGUGCUGAACGCGGAGGUGCCGUUCGUUCGGUACUAGAUCGUGGGACUGAUCGCGGGAUUGUUCGCGGGGCGGAUCGAGGGACGUGAGGACGUUCCACUACAUCAACCGCGUUCUCUAACGCUUCUGCUGUACGAUCUACAAGGGUACAUAGAUCACUCAUCCCCUCUCGUAGAUGGACAUCACCAUGAUAGGUCUUCGUGCGCGUAGGAAAAUUUUUGUUUCCCUUGCGACGUUCCCCAACAUUGCAUUCAACAGAGGUUGUCCUUGUGGAAGGUUAAAUAGCAAACUGAAUAUCACCGUUGUGGCUUUGUGUAGGUACGAACAGUUCUUGCUAGUUGCCCAUGGCAGCUACGUAAAACUUGCAACAACAAAGUAGAGGACGUCUAACUUGUUUUUGCAGGGCAUGUUGUGAUGUGAUAUGACCAAAUACAUGAUGUGAUAUAUGUGAUGUAGGAGAUGGUCAUGUUUUGUAUAGAAUUAUCACGACUUGCAUAUCGAUGAGUACGGCAACCGGCAGGAGCCAUAGGGUUGUCUUUAAUUUAUUUGUGUCUUUUUGCUUCACUUUAUCGCUAUGAGUUAGCAAUAGUUGUAGAAGCAUAGUUGGUGCGACAACCCCAAUGCCGACAAAAUGAUGGAGGUCAUGAUGAUGGAGAUCGUGGUGUCAUGUCGGUGACAAUGGAGAUCACGAAGUGCUUUGAAGAUGGAGAUCAAAAGCACAAGAUGAUGGUGGACAUAUCAUGUCACUUAUAUGAUUUGCAUGUGAUGUUAAUCCUUAUAUGCAUCUUAUUUUGCUUAGGAUGACGGUAGCAUUAUAAGAUGAUCCCUUACUAAAAUUUCAAGAUAAAAUUGUGUUCUCCACAACUGUGCAUCAUUGCAAAGGUUCGUCGUUUUGAAGCACCACGUGAUGAUCAGGUGUGAUAGACUCUACAUUUGCAUACAACGGGUGUAGGCCAGUUUUGCACAUGCAGAAUAUUUGGGUUAAAAUUGACGAGCCUAGCAUGUAUAGACAUGGCCUCGGAACAAAGGAAACCGAAAGGUCGAACAUGAGUAAUAUGGUAGAUAUGAUCAACAUGGAGAUGUUCACCAUUGAAACCACCUCAUCUCACGUGAUGAUCGGACUUGGGUUGAUGGAUUUGGAUCAUGUUACACUGCUACAACCUGAGGGUUGUUGAUUUGAAUGCGAGUUCUUUAGUAAUAUGCUUAAUUGAACUCAUUAUCAUGAACAUAGUCAAUGUCUUUGCAAAUUAUGUUGUAGAUCCAUAGCUCGCGUUGUAGCUCCCCCGUAUUUUGAUACGUUCCUAGAGAAAACUAAGUUGAAAGAUGAUGGUAGCAAUUAUGCGGACUAGGUCCGUGAUCUGAGGAUUGUCCUAAAAUGUUGCACAAAAGGCUUAUGUCCUUGAUGCACCGCUCGGUGUGCCACCCCCUCAAGAGUCAUAUGUGGAUGUUGUGAACAUAUGAUAGACACGCUUUUGAUGACUACUUGAUAGUUCAGUGGGUCAUGCUUUACGACUUAGAAUUGAAGAUCCAAAGACGUUUUGAACGUCACACAGCAUAUGAGAUGUUCCAAGAGCUAAAAUUGGGAUUUCAUGCUCGUGUCCAUGUUGAGAGGUAUCAGACCUCGGAUGAGUUCUUUGCCUGCAAGAUGAACGAGAAUAACUCAAUUGGUGAGCAUGCGCUCAAAUUGUGUGGGUGCUACAAUUGCUUGAAUCAAGUGGGAGUUAAUCUUCCGGAUAAGAUAGUGAUUGACAUAAUUCUCCAACUCACUGCCACCAAGCUACUAGAGCUUCGUGAUGAACUAUAAUAUGCCAGGGAUGGAGAAGAUGAUCCAUAAGCUAUUCGCGAUGUUUUACACCGCAUGUAAGGGCAUUCUCCUACCAUUAAGUAUUUUGGUGAUAAUGACAGCUCACUAUGUUAUCUAACCGGGUGUCAAGUUGUUCACGUAUCAUGUGUGAGACACAAGACGGUUAGGUAUUCCCUCCAAACGGAAAAGAUUGAAGACGGUGUUCUCUACGUGUUUAUUCACUUUGGCCAUAGGGAUCCCGUACUAUUAAGAGGGAAUCCACAUUCUUUUUCACCCAACUCUUUCCAUCGCAUCAAAGAUAGAGGCCCCUCUUUCCUUCCAAGUUGGAUGUUUGUACCGCUGCCUCGGCGGGUUGUACCGCCCACUCCCUCGUCGGUUGAACCAGCCCAUCACUUGGUUUAAACUGGUCAUGACUCUGUUGUGUUGUAGUUGUUCAGCGGUGGUGUGAACAAGUCGGACUCCGGGUAAGCGAGAUCUGAAGCGACUGGAUCUGGUCGAGCGUCUCGUUUAACAUCGAGAGGCUGACCUGACCAAUCCUUUGUAUAUUUUUAGAGUUAACCUCCACGACUUCCGGGAAGGAAACCAAUUCGGAAGUAGUCGUUUCCCUCUGUCCGAACACAUUGGUCGGUUCCCAGCUCGAAGCCUCGUCCCCGAGGAGGAGAGGACCAAAGCCAUGGUUGUGCAGGGGAUCGAGAGACAAGGCUUCGGGGUUUUGCACUUCAUCGGCCGAGGCCGUGAGGUUAGCAUGGAACAGAUUGCCCCGCGAGUCGGUGGAGACUUCAAACUCUCCGAACCUUAUCCGGUGAUCAGGGACAAAACCACCGAUCUGGCCAAGUUGGCCGGUUAGGUACGUGCUUGGCAUGAAGCGGCCGAGUGCGGGGACGUGUUUGGGGGCGAAGACACCCCCGUCGCAGACUCGAUCGUUGAUGAUCAAGAAAGCCAUCGAUCUGUGCGGUGCUCCAAUGGCGAAACUCUUAAUGAAAGCACCAAUGUCGGUGUCAAAACCGACAAAUCUUGAGUAGGGAGUCCCAAACUAUGGAGCUUAUAUAGAUGGGUUGCAGGAGAGAGGGGGAGACGAUGUUUACCCAGGUUGAGGCCCUCUUGAGGAGGUAAAACCCUACGUCCUGCUUGAUUAUAUUGACGGGGAAAGAUGGUUAUAGAGUAGAUCUACCUCGAGACCAUACGAGCUAACCCCAGAUGAGAUAUUCUACCUCUACGUAUAAGGGCUUCCGGUUUAUAUAGACACAGGGCCCCUAGGGUUAUAUGUUACCGACAUAGAUCGGGAGUAGACAGACUGAACUGGUCAUCCUGCCUUGGAGUGCACGAGUGUCUUCGAAGAUUUCCAUCUUGAUCACGUAGUCGUCAGAUAAUCCGGUUCUUCAAUGACGCGGCCCAUAUGAUCGGCCCAUGAGGGAUAACCCGACUGCCCGAGGACCCCUUAAUCUGAAACUCCCUCAAUGGGUGCUUGGGUGAUGUUCUUACUUAAACAAACCUCCCACUUAUGAUUUAUCCUCCCACAAGCAUCCGCAACUACGAGAAAAAGUAUUAAGAAUAAAUUCUAACCAUAGCAUUAAACAUAGGGAUCCAAAUCAGCCCCUUACAAAGUAGUGCAUAGAUUGGGGUUUAAGUUUUUGUCACUCUCACAUCCCACCCUCUAAUUACUACUCCAUAAUACAUUCCCUUAGGUGCAAAUAUGGUGAAGUGUUAUGUAGUCUACGUUCACAUAAGACCACUAAGGGAAUCACAACAUUCAUAUCAUCAAAAUAUCGAACGAAUAUCAACUUCACAUGACUACUUGCAACAUGAUUUCUCCCGUGGCCUCAAGAACAAAGUAACUACUCAGAAGUGAUAAACAUGUUCAUGAUCAGAGAGGUAUUAAAUAUCAUAAUGGAUCUCAACAUAUGAUCUUCCACCAAAUAAACCAUAAGCAUCAACUACAAGAUGUAAUCAACACUACUAGUCACACCCCAGGUAACAAUUCGAAGUUCCGGUACAAGAUUGAGUACAAGAGAUGAACUAGGAUUUUGAGAGGAGAUGGUGCUGAUGAAGAUGUUGAUGAAGAUUGUCCUCCCCAGGAUGAGAGUGUUGGUGGUGAUGAUGUUGGCCUUGAUUUCCCCCUCCGGGAGAGAAGUUCCUUCGCGAAAUCGCUCUGCCGUAGGGCAAAAGCGCUCGUGCCUAGGUUCCGCCUCGAGACGGCGUCGAUUCAUCCCGAAAGUCCUCCUCUUAUUUUUAGGGUAAAAGAGAAUUUAUACCAGAAGAUGAUUGCCAGAGGUGGGCCAGGGGGGCACUAGACAUCACACCAAGCUAGGGGGUCUGGCGUGCCCUGGUGUCUACUGGGCGUGUGGUAGCCACCCUCCGGUACUUCUUCGCUCUAGUAUUUUUUGUUUAUUAUAAAAUAAAUCUCCAUAAAUUUUCAGCCCAAUUGGAGAUGUGCAGAAUAGGUAUCUCUGACGUAGCUUUUUCAGGUCCAUCAUUCUAUGUGUCGGCAUUCUCCCACUUGAUGUAAACCUUGCAUAUUAUGAGAGAAAAUGCAUUAGAAUUACUCCACCAAGUGGCAAAAUGCAUAAAAACACUAUAAAUAAUAGUAUCAAAACAUGAUGCAAAAUGGACGUAUCAAGCCUAUAUGGGUCAAGCCUCGGUCGCUCGAUUUAUGGUCAUUCAAUUGAUGAGAUUAAGUCUUCAUUAUUUAGUAUAGAGUUUAUUUGUCAAACAAAUCAUAUGAACCAAAAUAUAGUUGCGGAUUGUCUAGCAAGAUAUAAUUGUUGUGAGUGUACUGUACCAUUGUUGUGUGAUUCAGCAGAGAACCAUCAUGUAUUGUGAAUCUCUUGUCUCUAAACUAUAUCUCUAUUAUCAUGGAAUAAACUACUAUAGGACCUACAAAAAAUGAAUAAUAAGUUGAACUCGCCGAGCUACACCAAAAUUCCUGGUAGACGGAACACAAAAUGUUAACAUUUAAAGGGGUAAAAUACUAAUUUUCCUCUGAGUUAAGCACUCUAUAUACUUUUUUCCUUUACAAAAUUGUGCAUGGUUGGGGGGCACCCCCCCAACACUACACUAAGCUCCGGUAGUGAUAAGUUUGGAAUACCAGACUCCAAAACCACAUAUAAUCUAUCUCUCGAGGCCUUCGUAGCUAAGAACAUCUUCUUGAUUUGCAUCACACUUACACAGGUAAAAUAGCAUUUACUAAACCCAGUGACUAGUUGAACGCAUUCAAUAACGAUUGCAGCAUUAGUCCUUGGCGGAGCCUCUGCGGACACCACAGAAACAAAUGGGCGAGUUUAGCUAGUUUUUACGCCCUAUUACAAAGCAGUUGACAUGACAAAAGAGAGGGAACAUAGAAAUAUGCAAUAAAUAGCGCCAAAACGACCCUCCACUCUGUCAGCCUCGACACGUUCACCAAGAGAUCCUAAGCAACUCCCCUCUUCGAUGGUCCAAAAGCCUUAAACAUCGGAGAAGAAGCGCACCCUAGGCGUCCGAACGCAGCACUUUUCAUUGCGUGACAAAAGCCCCCACCAGUUCCAUUAUACAACGUAAGUUUCACCAUCUCCUCGUGUGAAAGACAAAUUCGUGUCGAAACAACGAUAAGCCCCAUAAUGUGCAGAUGAUAUAAUAUUAACAACCUCAUUCUUUUUUUCUCUUUCGACCAAACUGCUAAAUCAUUAAAAGAGCAGGGUACAAAAAUACCACAUAACUCAUAAAUAAUAGCUCACAUUUGUUUAGAAACAAUGCAUUCAAAGAAAAAAUGUUGAAUAGACUCAUGUUCACUACAAAACACACAUGUUGGGUCAUCAACACGCCUUCUUUUUGCUAAGUUAUCCCUAGUCAAACAUUUGUUAUAAUAAGCCAACCAAAGAAAGACAUAUAUGUUGGGAGGAACUUUGAUUUUCCAAAUGUUGUCUUUAAUGUCAGAAGAAACCUCACCAAAUUUAUCAUCUUAUAAAAAGACAUCACAGAAUAUCUACUAGAUGCCUCAAGAGCCCAUAGGGGGGCAUCUAGCACAGUGGAGGGACUAAAGGUUCGAACCAAAGAAUUCAAUUUGAACCAAGAAUCCAUCAAUCUAACAUCCACACACCUCCUAAAGGUCAGGUGUAACUGGUCCCCAUCCCACACCUGAGCCAGAGAAGACUCUUGUUGUUGACAAAUCUCAAAAAGAUCCCAAAAGAGAGUUUUUAAAGAACAAUCCCUUAUCCAAAUGUCAUGCUAGAAGGCAAUGCUCUCCCCAUUGCGAGGGAGCCAUCUAACAAAGGUUUUAGCUACCCCCAAUGCCCAAGUCACACUUUUCCAGAAAGGUGACCCUGACAUACAUUUAACCCAGUAUAAGUUUGGUUUGUCCACUCCAUAUUUGUAACAAUAACCUUCUUCCAGUCUUUAUCCUCCCCCUCAUAAAAUCUUUUACCCCAAGAGGCUAAAAUAGACAUAUUAACCUCCUUCAGAUUAGGUACCCCUAACCCUCCAAAUUCUUUUCCCCUAGUCAAAAGACCCCAAUUAGCUAGAUAAUAUUUAUGCACCCCCCCCCCAAAUUCCCCCAAAAGAAUUGGGACAUCUAAGAGUUGAUAGCAUCAAUGACCCAUUUAGGAAAUUUCAUUAUAUACAUGAGGUAAGUAGGGAUGCUAGCAAUACAUGUAGUUAAUAAGAUCAAUUUGCCUAUAUAUGAAAGAUUCCUACCAAACCAUCCAACAAUACAUUUGAUAAUCCUAUUAAUGAUACGUUGCAAAUCCUCCCUUUUUAAUUUCUUGUAAUGCAAAGGAACAACAAGAUACUUAAAGGGGAAAUCCCCAAAUUGGCAACAAAAAAUUUGAGCAAUUUCUUUGGACAUGUCUUCAGUGACAUGAAGAGUACGAAGGUCACUCUUAUGGAAGUUAAUUUUAAGCCCAGAUAAUUUUUCAAAACAGAUAAGAAUCCAUUUAAGGUUUUAAGCAUAUUCAAUAGAUUUUUAAGGAAUAAACUAGUAUCAUCAGCAUAUUGAAGACUAAUCACACCCCUAGGAAUAACAUGAGGAAGAAGCCCAGCAAUUAAAUCAUGUCUAGCAGCUUUAACGAAAAUUUUAGUGAACACAUCAGCUACCAGAUUAAAGAGCAAAGGUGAAUGAGGAUCACCUUGCUUAAGACCUUUCUUCCCAAUAAAAUGUGGCCCAUUUCUGUCAUUAAUACUAACGUGAAAAGUCCCCUCAUGUAAGGUACUAAACACCUAACCAACCCAUUUCCCCCCAAAGCCCCUAGAAAGGAGCAUCUCUUUAAGGAAGCCCCAACUAACUCUAUCAUAAGCUUUCUCAUAGUCUAAUUUCAGAAUCACCCCCCUAGAACUAGUCCUAUGCACCUCAUGAAUAGCUUCAUGGUGUAUCACCACACUUUCAAGGAUAAAUCUCCCUUUAAUAAAGGCAGUCUCAUUUGGGGAGAUAAGUUUGUCACACACAUGAGAAACUCUGGUAGUCAUGGCUUUGGAAAAAAAAUUGACAUCACAAUUUCUUAAACUAAUAGGUCUAAAAUUCCUCAUCUUCGUAGUGUGAGGAAUUUUAGGAAUAAGAGUGAUGAUAGCAAACUUAAGUCUGUGAAUGUCUAAAAUCCCUGCUUCAAAAAAUUCACCAUUGAUGACGACUUGAUGGAUAUACUUCUCGCCCCUCGUUGGUUACCCCAAGUGGAAGGUGGAGAUGUAGUCAGCAGCAGAUUUCCCUUACACGAGGACUAUAAGGUUUAUCGAACCAGGAGGACUCCGAGGAUCAACAAGUAGGUGUUCGCUACUCUGGCGCUAGCAGAAGACGUGGACCUGCACACACAACAAAUAACUUUGCUCCCAACGAGUACAGAGAGGUUGUCAAUCUCUCCAGCCUUGUAGUUUGCAAAGGAUCAAAACACAAGCGGGAAUAGUGAUAGUGAUUGCAACGAAAAAGAAAAUAAAAGCAGUAAAUGGUGCAGGUGUAAGCAAUGGUGGUAAUAUGGACCGGAGUCACAUGAUGUUCACUAGUGAUGUCUCUCUCCAAAAAGACGAUAAACAACUAUGCAUGGGUAAACAAAUUACAGCUGGGCAAUUGACAAAAUUAUAAACGCAACGCAAUGCUAAUAAUGCUACUAGAAAGUUAGAGGCUCAAAAGUAAGACAUGUAGACCGUUUAUUCAUCAGCAUCUACUUAUUAAUGAUCCACCUUGAGAUAUCUAUCCAGAACAUCUCGUUGGUAUUAAGUUGCGAGCCCCACCCAAAGUGUAAAUUCAAAGGAACGGACAACUGCAUUAACGAACUUUGCAUAAGGUAAAAAAUCCUUGCAACCAUGGUCACAAGCACCGUUGUUUUUUAUGGGGAACGUCGCAUGGGAAACAAAAAAUUCCCUACGCACACGCAAUACCUAUCGAUGGUGAUGAUCAUCUACAAGAGGGGAGAGUGAAUCUACAUACCCUUGUAGAUUGCUAAGCGGAAGCGUAUAUAACGCGAUUGAUGUAGUGGAACAUCUUGGUGAUCCAAAUCGCAGCCCGUCCCGCGAUCUCAUCAUGAUCCGUCCCGCGAUUCCAUCACGAUCCAUCCUGAUCUAGUGCCGAACGGAUGGCACCUCCGCGGUCAGCACACGUACAACUCGAUGACGAUCUCCGCCUUCUUGAUCCAACAAGAGGGGCGACGAGGUAGAUGAGUUCUCCAUCACGGCGGCAUGGUGGUGGUGGUGGUGGAGCUAUUCCAGCAGGGCUUCGCCUAAGCACCGCUGAAACUAGACUAGAGGAGAAACAGAUCUAGAGAGAGAGAGGGCAACACGUGGCUGUUUUUUUGUGUCUCAAAAACCCUCAAUACCUCUAGUAUAUAUAGGAGGGAGGGAGGGGAGGAGGCAGCCUCAAACCCUCAAGGUUUGGCCGAAAUUGGUGGUGGUGGUGUCCUACUCCAAUCCUACUAGGAGUAGGAUUCCUCCUUUCCACUUGGAAACCCUUUCCACCUUUUCCACCUUUGAGUUUUUUUGCCUCUCAAACCUCAUGGGCCUUAGUGGGAGCUGAUGUCAGCCCACUAGGGGCUGGUUUUUAUCCUCCCACAGCCCAUAAGGCACCUCGAGGCGUGAUACCCCUACCGAUGGUCCCCGGUACCCUUCCAGCACUCCCGGUACACAACCGAUGAGCCCGAAACUUUUCCGAUGACCAAAACAGUACUUCCUAUAUAAAAAUCUUUACCUACGGACCAUUUCGGAGCUCCUCGUGACGUCCAGGAUCUCAUCCAGGACUCCGAACAACUUUCGGUUACCAACACCUAUAACUCAACUAUACCGAAACGUCAUCGAACCUUAAGUGUGCAGACCGUGCGGGUUCGAGAACUAUGCAGACAUGACCUGAGACACUCUCCGGUCAAUAUCCAAUAGCGGGACCUGGAUGUCCAUAUUGGAUCCUACAUAUUCUACGAAGAUCUUAUCGGUUGAACCUCUAUGUCAAGGAUUCAUAUAAUCUCGUAUACCAUUCCCUUUGUCCUUCGGUAUGUUACUUGCCCGAGAUUCGAUCGUCGGUAUCUCCAUACCUAUUUCAAUCGCGUCACCGGCAAGUCUCUUUACUCAUUCCAUAAUACAAGAUCCCAUGACUAACUCUUUAUUCACAUUGCUUGCUGAUACGUCUCCAUCCUAUCUACUUUUCCAAACUCUUUUGCCCUUGUUUUGGACUCUAAUUUGCAUGAUUUGAAUGGAACUAACCCGGACUAACGCUGUUUUCAGCAGAAUUGCCAUGGUGUUGUUUUUUGUGCAGAAAUAAAAGUUCUCGGAAUGACCUGAAAAUUUACGGAGAAUUUUUGUGGAAUAUAUAAAAUAUACUGGCGCAAGAAUCAACGGAGGAAGUGGAGCUGUGAGCCCACAAGCCCACCAGGCGCGACCCCCCUGGCCGCGCCUGGCAGGCUUGUGCCCCCCACAAAACUCCACCGCCUCCAAAUCCAGCUCUAUUUAGUCCGUUUCGUCCGUAAAAAAAAUCAAGGAGAAGAGUGCAUCGCGUUUUACGAUACGGAGGCGCCGCCACCUCCUGUUCUUCCUCUAGAGGGCAGAUCUGGAGUCCGUUCUGGGCUUCGGAGAGGGGAAAUCGUCGCCAUCGUCAUCAUCAACCUUCCUUCAUCGCCAAUUCCAUGAUGCCCUUCACCGUUCGUGAGUAAUCUCAUCGUAGGCUUGCUGGACGGUGAUGGGUUGGAUGAGAUCUAUCAUGUAAUUGAGUUAGUUUUGACGGGGAUUGAUCCCUAGUAUCCACUAUGUUCUGAGAUUGAUGUUGCUACUACUUUGCCAUGCUUAAUGCUUGUCACUAGGGCCCGAGUGCCAUGAUUUCAGAUCCGAACCUAUUAUGUUGUCGCCAAUAUAUGUGUGUUCUUGAUCCUAUCUUGCAAGUUGUAGUCACCUACUAUGUGUUAUGACCUGGCAACCCCGGAGUGACAAUAGCCGGAACCACUCCCGGAGAUGAUCAUAGUAUGAGGAGUUCAUGUAUUCACCAAGUGUUAAUGCGGUGGUCCGGUUCUUUAUUAAAAGGAGAACCUUAAUAUCCCGUAGUUUCCAUUAGGACCCCGCUGCCACGGGAGGGAUGGACAAUAGAUGUCAUGCAAGUUCUUUUACCUAAGCACGUAUGACUACAUACGGAAUACAUGCCUACAUUACAUUGACGAACUGGAGCUAGUUACAUAUCUCUCCGUGUUAUAACUGUUGCAUGAUGAAUAGCAUCCGGCAUAAUCAUCCAACACCGAUCCAAUUCCUAUGAGUCUUUUCCUACUGGUCCUUGCUACGUUACUUUGCCGCUACUGUUGUCACUGCUGCUACUGUUACUCUGUUGCUACUGCUCUUACUUUGCUGCUACUGUUGUCACUUUGCUGCUACUGGUUACUGUUGCUACUGCUACUAUCACACUACUCGGCUACUGGUACUUUGCUGCAGAUACUAAAUCUUUCAGGUGUGGUUGAAUUUACAACUCAACUCCUAAUACUUGAGAUUAUUCUUUGGCUUUCCCUUGAGUUGAAUCAAUAAAUUUGGGUUGAAUACUCUACCCUUGAAAACUGUUGCGAUCCCCUAUACUUGUGGGUUAUCAAGACUAUUUUCUGGCGCCGUUGCCGGGGAAGCACAACUAUAUUCUCUGAGUCACUUGGGAUUUACGUCUACUGGUCACUAUGAGGAAUCUGAUAGAUCCAAGAACUAAAGUCUUGCCCUCAACUACGAGGACAGGUAAGGAACUGCCAUCUAGCUCUGCACUUGAUUCACCUUCAGUUAUGAGUAAGUUUGCGACACCACCUCCUGCUAGAAAUCUUGAUAUGUCGCCUGUGCUUGAUGAUGCUACUUCUACUGCCCAUGAUGCUUAUGAUGAUGCUAUGCUUGAUACUGCUUUGCCACUUGGUGCAUUCCUUGAUGCACAAAUUGCUAGAGUUACUGCUGAUGCUUAUGAUGCUUCUGAAACUGCUGAUACUAUUGAAGUAGAACCUGCUAUUUUGCCUGCUAGAACUAGCUCUCCUAGAUAUGAAUUGCCUGAUAUGCCUGAGUGUUAUGUUAUGGACGGAGACAUAGCUGAGGAUUUUCUUGCGUGUAAGGAUAGCUAUGAUGUUGAGAAUUUACUGCGCAAGUGGAAAGAAAAAUCUCUGAACGCUAGGAUGAAGUACGACCCGAAGUUUGCUACUUCACCUAUCUUUGUGACCGAUAAGGAUUAUGAAUUCUCUGUCGACCCUGAGUUAAUCACUCUGGUCGAAUCUGAUCCUUUUCACGGUUGUGAGUCUGAGACGGUUGUAGCCCAUCUUACAAAACUGCACGAUAUAGCCACCCUAUUCACUAGUGAGGAAAAGAUCCGCCACUACUAUAUCCUCAAGCUGUUUCCUUUCUCGCUAAAGGAUGAUGCUAAGACCUGGUUCACUUCUCUUGCUCCUGGUUGUGUGCGUAGCCCCCAGGAUAUGGUCUACUACUUCUUUGCAAAAUAUUUCCCUGCCCAUAAGAAGCAAGCUGCCUUGCAGGAAAUAUACAACUUUGCACAAGUUGAAGAAGAGAGUCUCCCACAAGCUUGGGGGAGGCUCGUCCAGCUACUCAAUGCUUUGCCUGAUCACCCUCUUGAGAAGAAUGAAAUACUUGAUAUCUUAUAUAAUGGACUUACCGAUGCUUCUAGAGACCACCUAGAUAGUUGUGUUGGUUGUGUUUUUAGGGAACAAACCGUAGAACAAGCUGAGAUCCUAUUGAAUAACAUCUUGUGCAAUGAGAAUGCUUGGAAUAUUCCCGAACCACCUCCUAAGCCAACUCUUAAGAAAAGAGGCAUUCUAUUCCUCAGUCCCGAAGAUAUGCAAGAAGCUAAGAAAUCUAUGAAAGAGAAAGGCAUUAAAUCUGUAGAUGUCAAAAAUCUACCACCUAUCAAAGAGAUCCAUGGUCUUGAUAACCCGAUACAGGUAGUAGAAGUAAAUUCUCUACGUAGAUUCGAUGAGAGUGAUAUUCCUUUUGAUAAACCUGCUAGCUUAUGCUUGGAUGAAUUUGAUAACUUUGUUGCCAAACAACAAAGUUUCAAUGAUUAUGUUAGCAGACAAUUGGAACAGAAUGCUCGUAUGCUUAGUCAUUUAAGUGCUUGUGUGGACAGAAAUGUCAAUGAUCUUAAGCUUCUGAGUAAACAUGCCUCUAUGGUUACUACUCAAGUAGAACAAGUACUUAAGGCUCAAAAUGACUUGCUCAAUGAGUUGAAUGACAAUUCUGUUAGAGUCGUCCCUAGAGGCGAUAGAAUGACCCAGGAACCUUUGUAUCCUGAGGGUCAUCCUAAGAGAAUUGGACAAGAUUCUCAAGGAGUUAGCACUGAUGCACCUAGUCAUCCUAGGAAGAAGAAGAAAGAUGAUAGGGAUUUGCACGCUACCAACCCUGUUGCUGCUACACCUGAGAGUCCAAACGAUGUCUCUGUCUCUGAUGCUGAAACGCAAUCUGGUGAUGAACAUGAGCCUAAUGAUAAUAUCAAUAUUGAUGUUCAUGAUAAUGCUCAACCUAACAAUGAUAAGGAUGUGGAGAUUGAACCUGUUGAUCUUGAUAACCCACAGCCAAAGAAUAGAAGAUACAAUAAGAAUGACUUUGCUGCUAGGAAGCAUGGUAAAGAGAGGGAACCAUGGGUUCAGAAACCCAUGCCCUUUCCUCCAAAACCAUUCAAGAAAAAGGAUGAUGAUGAUUUUGAGCGCUUUGUUGAAAUGAUCAGACCUGUCUUUCUACAAAUGCGUUUGACAGAUAUGCUCAAAAUGUCUCUGUAUGCUAAGUACAUGAAGGAUAUUGUGACUAAUAAAAGGAGGAUACCUGAGGUUGAGAUUUCCACCAUGCUCACUAACUAUACCUUCAAGGGUGGAACUCCUAAGAAACUAGGUGAUCUCGGAGUGCCCACUAUACCUUGCUCCAUUAAAGGCAACUACGUUAAAACUUCUUUAUGCGAUCUUGGAGCCGGUGUUAGUGUUAUGCCUCUCUCUCUUUAUCGUAGGCUUGAACUGGAUAAGUUGACACCCACUGAAAUCUCUCUGCAAAUGGCCGACAAAUCAACUGCUUUCCCUAUCGGCAUUCGCGAGGAUGUGUGAGUUGUGGUUGCAAAUGUCACUAUCUUAACAGACUUUGUUAUUUUGGAUAUCCCGAGGAUGAUGCCAUGGCGGUCAUCCUUGGAAGACCCUUUUUAAACACUGCAGGGGCUGUUAUAGAUUGCAACAAAGGCAAUGUCACUUUCCAUGUCAACAGUAAUGAGCAUACGGUGCACUUUCCGAGUACAUUGCAUCAAUGCUAUCGAAAAAACUUCAUCGAUUCUUAUUGGGAGCUUUGAAUGCACUAUACCUCCUGUUAAGAUGAAGUAUGAUUUGCUCGUUGGGGAGAUUCACAUCCCCAUUGAGGUAACUACUUUGGCAACAGAGAACAGCGCCAGAAAUUGACACGUUGAUGGAGACUGGGCUUGCGUUGGUUUUUCCCUUGAAGAGCAAAGGGUGAUGCAACACAGGAGCAGUAAGUAUUUUCCUCAGUUCGAGAACCAAGGUAUCAAUCCAGUAGGAGAAUCUCGUCAAGUCCAGAGUACCUGCGCAAACACAAAAGAGAUUACACCCAACGCUUUAAAGGGGUUGUCAAUCCCUUCAAGAUUGAUUGCAAAGUGAGAUCUAAAGGCGGAAAGUGCAACGAAGUAAAAAGUGUAAGGCUGAAAAUAUGGUGUGAAGUAGACCCGGGGCCAUAGUGUUCACUAGAGGCUUCUCUCAAAAUAGCAAGUAUUACGGUGGGUGAACAAAUUACCGUCAAGCAAUUGAUAGAACCGCGCAAAGUCAUGACGAUAUCUAAGGCAAUGAUCAUACAUAUAGGCAUCACGUCCGAGACAAGUAGACCGAUACUUUUUGCAUCUACUACUAUUACUCCACACAUCGACCGCUAUCCAGCAUGCAUCUAGUGUAUUGAGUUCAUGACGAACAGAGUAGCGACUUAAGCAAGAUGACAUGAUGUAGAGGGAUAAUAUCAAACCAAUGAUGAAAACCCCAUCUUUUUACCCUUGAUGGCAACAACAUGAUGCGUGCCUCGCUACCCCUUCUGUCACUGGGUGAGGUCACCGCACGGUAUGAACCCAAAACCAAGCACUUCUCCCAUUGCAAUAAUCAUAUAUCUAGUUGGCCAAACAAAACCCACAACUCGAAGAGAAUUACAAGGAUAUGAAAUCAUGCAUAAGAGAGAUCAGAAUAAACUCAAAUAAGAUUCAUAGAUAAUCUGAUCAUAAAUCCACAAUUCAUCGGAUCUCGACAAAGACACCGCAAAAGAAGAUUACAUCGGAUAGAUCUCCAUGAAGAUCAUGGAGAACUUUGUAUUGAAGAUCCAAGAGAGAGAAGAAGCCAUCUAGCUACUAGCUAUGGACCCGUAGGUCUAUGGUGAACUACUCACGCAUCAUCGGAGAGGUCAUGGUGUUGCUGAAGAAGCCCUCCGUAUCCGAAUCCCCCCUCCGAGAGGGCACCAGAACGUGCCCGAGAUGGGAUCUUGCGGAGACAGAAGCUUGCGGCGGCAGAAAAGUACUUUCGAUGAUUGAUACGUCUCAAACGUAUCUAUAAUUUUUGAUGGUUUCAUGCUGUUAUCUUGUCAACUUUGGAUGUUUUAUAUACCUUUUAUAUCUUUUUUGGGACUAACUUAUUAAUUCAGUGCCAAGUCCUAGUUCCUGUUUUUUCUGUGUUUUUGACUCUUUUCAGAUCUGAUUUUGGAACGGAGUCCAAACGGAAUAAAAUCCCCGAAAUAAAUUUUUCCAGAACAGAAGAAGAUCGGGGGACUUGAGGGCCAAGGCAGGGAAGCCACAGGGAGCCCACAAGCCCUGUAUCCGCCACUAGGGAGGCGGUGGCUACCAGGCUUGUGGCCUCCCUGGAGCUCCCCUGCCCUAGCUUUUUCGCCUAUAUAUUCCCUAAAAUCCCAGAAAAAAUCAGGGCAUCCACAAAAACACUUUUCCGCCGCCGCAAGCUUCCGUUUCUGCGAGAUCUCAUAUGGAGACCGUUCCCGGUGCCCUACCGGAGGGGACUUUGGAGUUGGAGGGCUUCUACAUCAACAUCAUCGCCUCUCCAAUGACUCGUGAGUAGUCCACUUCAGACCUACGGGUCCGUAGUUAGUAGCUAGAUGGCUUCUUCUCUCUCUUGGAUCUUCAAUACAAAGUUCUCCAUGAUCUUCAUGGAGAUCUAUCCGAUGUAAUCCCCUUUGGCGGUGUGUUUGUCGAGAUCCGAUGAAUUGUGGAUUUGUGAUCAGAUUAUCUAUGAAUUAUAUUUGAGUCUUUGCUGAUUUCUUAUAUGCAUGAUUUGAUAUCCUUGUAAGUCUUUUCGAGUCUUGGGUUUUGUUUGGCCAACUAGAUCUAUGAUUCUUGCAAUGGGAGAAGUGCUUGGUAUUGGGUUCAUACCAUGUGGUGACCUUUCCCAGUGACAGAAGGGGCAGCAAGGCACGCAUCGUGUUGUUGCCAUCAAGGGUAACAAGAUGGGCUUUUAUCGUAGAUAUGAGAUUGUCCAUCUACAUCAUGUCAUCUUGCUUAAGGCGUUACUCUGUUCUUAUGAACUUAAUACACUAUAUGCAUGCUGGAUAGCGGUCGACGUGUGGAGUAAUAGUAGUAGAUGCAGAAAGUAUCGGUCUACUUGUUUUGGACGUGAUGCCUAUAGAUAUAAUCAUUGCCUUAGAUAACGUCAUGACUUUGCGCGGUUCUAUCAAUUGCUCGACAGUAACUUGUUCACCCACCGUCUACUUGCUUUCAUGAGAGAAGCCACUAGUGAACACUAUGGCCCCCGGGUCUAUUCACAACUAUCGUCUCCACUUUCACUUUUACUUUGCUUUGUUUACUUUUUUGCUUUCAGUUCUCACUUUGCAAUCAAUCUAUAAGGGAUUGACAACCCCUUCAUAGCGUUGGGUGCAAGAUCUUUGUGUUUGUGCAGGUACUUGUGACUUGGCGCGAGCCUCCCACUGGAUCGAUACCUUGGUUCUCAAACUGAGGGAAAUACUUACCACCGCUGCGCUACAUCACCCUUUCCUCUUCAAGGGAACACCAACGCAAGGCUCCAAGGCCGCGGGGAAAUACUUUGCUUAUUUUGUUGGAAAUAUGCCCUAGAGGCAAUAAUAAAAUGGUUAUUAUCAUAUUUCCUUGUUCAUGAUAAUCGUCUAUUGUUCAUGCUAUAAUUAUAUUAAUAGGAAACAGUAAUACAUGUGUGAAUAAAUAGAUCACAAUGUGUCCCUAGCAAGCCUCUAGUUGGCUAGCUCGUUAGUCAAUGGAUGAUCAUGGUUUCCUGUUCAUGGGCAUUAGACGUCAUUGAUAACGGGAUCACAUCAUUGGGAGAAUGAUGUGAUGGACAAGACCCAAUCCUAAGCGUAGCACUAGAUCGUAUUGUUCGUAUGCUAAAGCUUUUCUAAUGUCAAGUGUAUUUUCCUUCAACCGUGAGACUGUGCAACUCCCGGAUACCGUAGGAGUGCUUUGGGUGUAUCAAACGUCACAACGUAACUGGGUGACUAUAAAGGUGCACUACGGGUACCUCUGAAAGUGUCUGUUGGGUUGGUACGAAUCGAGAUCGGGAUUUGUCACUCCGCGUGACGGAGAGGUAUCUCUGGGCCCACUCGGUAGAACAUCAUCAUGAGCUCAAUGUGACUAAGGAGUCAGUCACACGAUGAAGUGCUACGGAACGAGUAAAGAGGCUUACCGGUAACGAGAUUGAACAAGGUAUAGGUAUACCGACGAUCGAAUCUCGGGCAAGUUCUAUACCGACAGACAAAGGGAAUUGUAUACGGGAUUAAUUGAAUCCUUGACAUCGUGGUUUAUCUGAUGAGAUCAUCGUGGAGAAAGUGGGAGCCACCAUGGGUAUCCAGACCCCGCUGAUGGUUAUUGGCCAGAGAGGUGUCUCGGUCAUGUCUACCUGUCUCCCGAACCCGUAGGGUCUACACACUUAAGGUUCGAUGACGCUAGGGUUAUAGGGAAUUGUUAUACGAGGUUAUCGAAAGUUGUUCGGAGUCCCGGAUGAGAACGCAGACGUCACGAGGAGCUCCAUAAUGGUCCGGAGGUAAAGAUUGAUAUAUAUGACAGAUGGUUUCGGACAGUGGAAGUGUUUCGGGCGUCACCGGUAACGUACCGGGACCACCGGAGGUGGCCCCGGGGGUCCACUGGAAGGGGGCAACGACCCCGGAAGGCUACAUGGGCCAAGUGCGGGAGGGAACCAGCCCCUAGGUGGGCUGGUGCACCUCCCACACUCAGCCCAAGGCGCAGGAGGUGGAGAGGGGGGGGACCCUAGGUGGUGGUGGGCCUAAGGCCCACCUAGGGGUGCGCCACCACUCCCCCUUGCCCUGGCCGCCGCACCUCCCAUCUAGGGGGGCUGCCGCACCACCUAGGGUAGGAACCCUAGGGGUGGCACCCCCCUCCCCUCCUCCUAUAUAUAGUGGGCACUUUUGGGCUUUUGGCGACACAGUUUUCUCUCUCUCUCGGCGCAGCCCUGCCCUUCUUUCUCCUCCUCUCUGCCGGUGCUUGGCGAAGCCCUGCCAGGAGACCUCGUCUCUCCAUCGACACCACGCCGUCGUGCUGCCGAAGAUCUUCCCCAAACUCUCCCUCCUCCUUGCUGGAUCAAGGUGCAGGAGACGUCACCGGGCUGCACGUGUGUUGAACGCGGAGGUGCCGUGGUUCGGCACUAGAUCGGAAUCACACCGCGAUCUGAAUCGCCGCGAGUACGACUCCAUCAACCGCGUUCUAGCAACGCUUCUGCUUAGCAAUCUUCAAAGGUAUGAAGAUGCACUCACCCCUCUCUUGUUGCUGGUCUCUCCAUAGGAAGAUCUGAAUAUGCGUAGGAAUGUUUUUGAAUUUAUACUACGUUACCCAACAGUGGCAUCCGAGCCAGGUUUUCUAUGCGUAGAUUCUUGCACGAGUAGAACACAAAAGGUUGUGGGCGAUGAUUUGUCAAUUGCUUGCUGCUACUAGUCUUAUUCUUUUCCGGCGGUAUUGUGGGAUGAAGCAGCCCGGACCGACAUUACACGUACGCUUACGUGAGACUGGUUCCACCGAGAGACAUGCACACCGUGCAUAAAGGUGGCUAGCGGGUGUGUGUCUCUCCCACUCUAGUCGGAUAGGAUUUGAUGAAAGGGGUCCUUAUGAAGGGUAAAUAGCUUUGGCAUAUCAUCGUUGUGGCUGUCACGUAGGUAAGAAAGCGUUCUUGCUAGAAACCCAAAUCAGCCACGUAAAACUUGCAACAACAAUUAGAGGACGUCUAACUUGUUUUUGCAGGGUUUGACAUGUGAUGUGAUAUGGCCAAAGUUGUGAUGUUGCAUGUAUGAUGUAUGAGAUGAUCAUGUUAUUGUAAUAGGUUUCACGACUUGCAUGUCGAUGAGUAUGACAACCGGCAGGAGCCAUAGGAGUUGUCUUAAUUUAUUGUAUGAGAUGCAAUGCCAUGUGCUUACUACUUUUACUUCAUUGCUAACGGUUAGCUAUAGUAGUAGUGAUAGUAGUAGUUGGCGUGAAGACUUCACGGAGACACGAUGAUGGAGAUCAUGGUGUCACGCCGGUGACAAUGAUGAUCAUGCGAUGUCUGAAGAUGGAGAUCGAAAGAGAAAAGAUGAUAAUGGCCAUAUCAUGUCACUAUAUGAUUGCAUUGUGAUGUUUAUCAUGUUUUUCAUCUUAUUGCUUAGAACAACGGUAGCAUAAUAAGAUGAUCCCUCUUAAAAUUUCGAGAACAUAUUCCCCUAAGUGUGCACCGUUGCGAAGGAUCGUUGUCUCGAAGCACCACGUGAUGAUCGGGUGUGAUAGAUUCUAACGUUCGCAUACAACGGGCCAGAUUUACACACACGAAACACCUAGGUUGACUCGACGAGCUUAGCAUGUACAUACAUGACCUCGAAUACAAGAGACCGAAAGGUUGAACAUGAGUCGUAUGGUUGAAUACGAUCAGCAUGAAGUUGCUCACCAUGGUGACUAGUCCGUCUCACAUGAUGAUCGGACACGGGUUAGUCAACAUGGAUCAUGUAUCACUUAGAUGACUAGAGGUAUGUCAAUUUAAGUGGGAGUUCAUACUUAAUUUGAUUAAAUGAACUUAAUUGUCAUGAACUUAGUCUAAAAGUUGUCUUUAUAAAUAUUGUAGAUGGCCAACGUCAACCUCAAUUUCAACGCAUUCCUAGAGAAAAACAAGCUGAAAGAUUAUGGUAGCAACUAUGCGGACUGGGUUCACAACUUGAAGCUCAUCCUUGAAGCAGCUAAAAAGGCUUAUGUCCUUGAUGCGCCGCUAGGUGACCCUCCCGCUCCCACAGCAGCCCAGGACAUUCUGAACGUCUAGCAAAUGCGGAGUGAUGACUACUCUCUGGUUAGGUGUGGCAUGUUAUACAGUUUGGAAAUGGGGCUCCAAAGGCGUUUUGAGCAACACGGUGCAUAUGAGAUGUUCCAAGAGCUGAAGCUAGUUUUUCAAGCUCAUGCCCGUGUCGGGAGAUAUAAAGUCUUCGACAAGUUCUUUAGCUGUAAGAUGGAGGAGAACAGUUCUGUCAGUGAGCACAUACUCAAAAUGUCUGGGUUACACGGUCGUCUGACUUCACUUGGAGUCGAACUUCCGGAUGAUGCUAUAAUUGACAGAAUCCUCCAAUCUCUCCCACCAAGCUACAAAGGUUUUGUGCUGAACUACAACAUGCAAGGGAUGGAGAAGACCAUUCCCGAGUUGUACUCGAUGCUCAAGUCUGCAGAAGUAAAAAUUAAGAAAGAGCUUCAAGUGUUGAUGGUCAACAAGAGCACUAGUUUCAAGAAGGGCAAGGGUAAGAAGAACUUCAAGAAAGACGGCAAAGCCGUUGUCGCGCCCGGUAAGCCAGAUGCCAGGAAGAAGAAAAAGAAUGGACCCAAGCCUGCGACUGAGUGCUUCUAUUGCAAGGGAAAGGGUCACUGGAAGCGGAACUGCCCCAAAUACUUAGCGGACAAGAAGGUCGGCAACGUCAAAGGUAUAUGUGAUAUACAUGUUAUUGAUGUGUACCUUACCAGCGCUCGUAGUAGCUCCUGGGUAUUUGAUACCGGUGCUGUUGCUCACAUUUGCAACUCAAAGCAGGACCUGCGGAAUAAGCGGAGACUGGCCAAGGACGAGGUGACGAUGCGCGUCGGGAAUGGCUCCAAGGUCGAUGUGAUCGCUGUCGGCACGCUACCUCUACAUCUACCGUCGAGAUUAGUUUUAAACCUUAAUAAUUGUUAUUUAGUACCAGCUUUGAGCAUGAAUAUUGUAUCAGGGUCUUACUUAAUGCGAGACGGCUACUCAUUUAAGUCAGAGAAUAAUGGUUGUUCUAUUUAUAUGAGUGAUAUGUUUUAUGGUCAUGCUCCGCUGGUGAAUGGUUUAUUCUUGAUGAAUCUCGAUCGUGAUGUUACGCAUAUUCAUAGUGUGAGUACCAAAAGAUGUAAAGUUGAUAAUGAUAGUCCCACAUACUUGUGGCACUGCCGCCUUGGUCAUAUCGGCGUUAAGCGCAUGAAGAAGCUCCAUACUGAUGGACUAUUAGAGUCUCUUGACUUUGAAUCAUUUGACACAUGCGAACCGUGCCUCAUGGGCAAGAUGACUAAGACUCCAUUCUCGGGAAUAAUGGAGAGAGCAACCGACUUAUUGGAAAUAAUACAUACUGAUGUGUGUGGUCCAAUGAACGUUGAAGCUCGCGGUGGCUAUCGUUAUGUUCUCACUCUCACCGAUGAUUUGAGUAGGUAUGGGUAUAUCUACUUGAUGAAGCACAAAUCUGAGACAUUCGAAAAGUUCAAGGAAUUUCCUAGUGAGGUCGAGAAUCAACGUGACAAAAAAAUUAAGUGUCUACGAUCUGACCGUGGAGGAUAAUAUUUGAGUCACGAGUUUGGCACACACCUAAGGAAGCGUGGAAUCGUUCCACAACUGACGCCGCCUGGCACACCGCAACGCAACGGAGUGUCUGAACGUCGUAAUCACACUUUAUUAGAUAUGGUACGAUCUAUGAUGUCUCUUACCGACUUGCCACUAUCAUUUUGGGGAUACGCAUUAGAAACUGCAGCGUUCACUUUAAAUAGGGCACCGUCUAAAUCCGUUGAGACGACACCGUAUGAACUAUGGUUUGGCAAGAAACCUAAGUUGUAGUUUCUUAAAGUUUGGGGCUGCGAUGCUUAUGUGAAGAAACUUCAACUAGAAAAGCUUGAACCCAAAGCGGAGAAAUGCGUAUUCAUAGGAUACCCUAAGGAAACUAUUGGGUAUACCUUCUAUCUUAGAUCCGUUUUUUUAAGGAAACCYUUUGUUGCCAAGAACAGAUCCUUUCUAGAGAAAGAGUUUCUCUCGAAAGAAGUAAGUGGGAGGAAGGGAGAACUUGAUGAGGUAAUUACACCCCCUCUCGAACAGGAAAGUAGCACAACACGGGAAAUUGUUCCUGUGGCGCCUGCACCAACUAAAGAGGAAGUUAAUGAUAAUGAUCAUGAAGCUUCGGAUCAAGUUACUACUGAACCACGAAGGUCCACAAGGGCACGCUCCGCACCAGAGUGGUACGGCAACCCUAUGAUGGAAAUCAUGUUGUUAGACAACGGCGAACCUUCGAACUAUGAAGAAGCGAUGGCGGGCCCGGAUUCCAACAAAUGGCUUGAAGCUAUGAAAUCCGAGAUAGGAUCCAUGUAUGAGAACAAAGUAUGGACUUUGGUGGACUUGCCGAUGACCGCGAGCCAUAGAAAAUAAAUGGAUCUUCAAGAAGAAGACUGAUGCAAACGGUAAUGUAACCGUUUAUAAAGCUCGACUUGUCGUAAAGGGUUUUCGACAAAUUCAAGGAAUUGACUACGAAGAGACUUUCUCUCCCGUAGGGAAGCUGAAAUCAGUCCGAAUCAUGUUAGAAAUUGCUGCCUUUUAUGAUAUGAAAUUUGGCAAAUGGACGUCAAAACAACGUUCCUUAACGGGAACCUUAAGGAAGAGUUGUAUAUGAUGCAACCAGAAGGUUUUGUCGACCCUAAGGGUGCUAACAAAGUGUGCAAGCUCCAGCGCUCCAUCUAUGGGCUGGUGCAAGCAUCUCGGAGUUGGAACAUUCGCUUUAAUGAGGUGAUUAAAGCGUUUGGGUUCAUACAGGUUUACGGAGAAGCCUGUCUGAACAAGAAAGUGAGUGGGAGCUCUGUAGCUUUCCUCAUACUGUAUGUGGAUGACAUAUUAUUGAUGGGGAAUAAUAUAGAGAUGUUGGAGAGCAUAAAGGCCUAUUUGAACAAGAGUUUUUCAUUGAAGGACCUUGGAGAAGCUGCAUACAUAUUAGGCAUCAAGAUCUAUAGAGAUAGAUCGAGAUGCCUCAUAGGUCUUUCGCAAAGUACAUACCUUGACAAGAUAUUGAAGAAGUUCAACAUGGAAAACUCAAAGAAAGGGUUCUUGCCAGUUUUGCAAGGUAUGAGAUUGAGUAAGACUCAGUCGCCGACCACGGCAGCAGAUAGAGAGAAGAUGAGUUCUGUUCCCUACGCUUCAGCCGUAGGCUCUCUAAUGUAUGCCAUGCUGUGUACCAGACCUGAUAUAAACCUUGCCAUAAGUUUGGUAUGGACGUACCAAAGUGAUCCCGGUAUGGAACACUGGACAGCGGUCAAGAAUAUCAUUAAGUACCUGAAAAGGACUAAGUAAAUGUUUCUCGUUUAUGGAGGUGACGAAGAGCUCGUCGUAAAGGGUUACGUCGACGCUAGCUUCGACACAGAUCCGGAUGACUCUAAGUCACAAACCGGAUACGUAUAUGUUUUGAAUGAUGGGGCAGUGAGCUGGUGCAGCGGCAAGCAAGAAGUCGUGGCAGCAUCUACAUGUGAAGCGGAGUACAUAGCUGCUUCAGAAGCAACUCAUGAAGGAAUUUGGAUGAAGGAGCUCAUCACCGACCUUGGAGUGGUUCCAAGCACGUCGGGUCCAAUGAAACUCUUCUGUGAUAACACUUGGGCCAUUGCCAUAGCCAAGGAGCCCAGGUUUCAUCGAAAGACGAAGCACAUCAAACGCCGCUACAACUCCAUCCAGGACCAUGUCCAGAAUGGAGUGAUAGAGAUUUGUAAAGUACAUAUGGAUCUGAAUGUUGCAGACCCAUUGACUAAACCUCUUCCACGAGCAAAACAUGAUCAACACCAUAAUGCUAUGGGUGUUCGAUACAUCACAAUGUAACUAGAUUAUUGACUCUAGUGCAAGUGGGAGACUGUUGGAAAUAUGCCCUAGAGGCAAUAAUAAAAUGGUUAUUAUCAUAUUUACUUGUUCAUGAUAAUCGUCUAUUGUUCAUGCUAUAAUUGUAUUAACAGGAAACAUUAAUACAUGUGUGAAUAAAUAGAUCACAAUGUGUGCCUAGCAAGCCUCUAGUUGGCUAGCUCGUUAGUCAAUGGAUGAUCAUGGUUUCCUGGUCAUGGGCAUUAGAUGUCAUUGAUAACGGGAUCACAUCAUUGGGAGAAUGAUGUGAUGGAAAAGACCCAAUCCUAAGCGUAGCACUAGAUCGUAUUGUUCGUAUGCUAAAGCUUUUCUAAUGUCAAGUGUCUUUUCCUUCGACCGUGAGAUUGUGCAACUUCCGGAUACCGUAGGAGUGCUUUGGGUGUAUCAAACAUCACAACGUAACUGGGUGACUAUAAAGGUGCACUAUGGGUACCUCUGAAAGUGUCUGUUGGGUUGGUACGAAUCGAGAUUGGGAUUUGUCACUCCGCGUGACGGAGAGGUAUCUCUGGGCCCACUCGGUAGAACAUCAUCAUGAGCUCAAUGUGACUAAGGAGUUAGUCACACGAUGAAGUGCUACGGAAUGAGUAAAGAGACUUACCGGUAACGAGAUUGAACAAGGUAUAGGUAUACCGACGAUCGAAUCUCGGGCAAGUUCUAUACCGACAGACAAAGGGAAUUGUAUACGGGAUUAAUUGAAUCCUUGACAUCGUGGUUCAUCCGAUGAGAUCAUCGUGGAGCAAGUGGGAGCCACCAUGGGUAUCCAGACCCCGUUGAUGGUUAUUGGCCAGAAAGGUGUCUCUGUCAUGUCUACCUAUCUCCCGAACCCGUAGGGUCUACACACUUAAGGUUCGAUGACGCUAGGGUUAUAGGGAAUUGUUAUACGAGGUUAUCGAAAGUUGUUCGGAGUCCCUGAUGAGAUCCCGGACGUCACGAGGAGCUCCGGAAUGGUCUGGAGGUAAAGAUUGAUAUAUAUGACGGAUGGUUUCGGACACCGGAAGUGUUUCGGGCAUCACCGGUAACGAACCGGGACCACCGGGACCACCGGAAGGGGGCAACGACCCCGUGAGGCUAGAUGGGCCAAGUGCGGGAGGGAACCAGCCCCUAGGUGGGCUGGUGCACCUCCCACACUCAGCCCAAGGCGCAGGAGGUGGAGAGGGGGGAACCCUAGGCGCUGGUGGGCCUAAGGCCCACCUAGGGGUGCGCCACCCCUCCCCCUUGCCCUGACCGCCACACCUCCCAUCUGGGGGGCUGCCGCACCACCUAGGGUGGGAACCCUAGGGGUGGCACCCACCCUCCCCUCCUCCUAUAUAUAGUGGGAACUUUUGGGCUUUUGGAGACACAAUUUUCUCUCUCUCUCUCGGCGCAGCCCUGCCCUUCUUUCUCCUCCUCUCUAGCGGUGCUUGGUAAAGCCCUGCCGGGAGACCUCGUCUCUCCAUCGACACCACACCGUCGUGCUGCCGGAUAUCUUCCCCAACCUCUCCCUCCUCCUUGCUGGAUCAAGGUGCAGGAGACGUCACCGGGGUGCACGUGUGUUUAACGCGGAGGUGCCGUGGUUCGGCACUAGAUCGGAAUCACACUGCGAUCUGUAUCGCCGCGAGUACGACUCCAUCAACCGCGUUCUAGCAACGCUUCUGCUUAGCGAUCUUCAAAGGUAUGAAGAUGCACUCACCCCUCUCUCGUUGCUGGUCUCUCCAUAGGAAGAUCUGAAUAUGCGUAGGAAGUUUUUUGAAUUUAUGCUACGUUACCCAACAUAUUUGCCAAGGAAGUCCCUAUAGGCGUAGCCCGUGACAGAAGGAUUCCUGGCGCUGUUACCAGGGGAAGGUCUGUUGUCACAGUAGCAGAAGGAUUUCUAGCGCCGUUGCCAGGGAGGAGGAUCGCUUGUCGAGAGAGAUCAAGUCAAGAUCUAUCCAAGUAGGUGUCACAAACUCAUUUCUUGCAUUUACUUUUUUUGCCAGUUGCCUCUCGUUUUCCUCUCCCCCACUUCACAUUUGCCGUUUUUAUUUGCCUUUCUACUUUGCCAUUUUCAUUUGCCUUUCUCCUUUGUUGUUUUCUUUUGCCCUUUUGCCGUUUUUCUUGCUUGCUUGUGUUCUUGUUGGUUUGUUGAAGUCAUCAUGGCUGAAAACACCAAACUUUGCGACUUCUCGAGUACCUAUAGUAAUGAUUUUAUUAGUACUUCGAUUGCUCCCGCCACUAGUGCGGAAUCGUAUGAAAUCAACGCUGCCUUGCUGAAUCUUGUUAUGAAAGAGCAAUUCUCUGGCCUUCCUAGUGAAGAUGCCUCAUCCCAUCUCAAUACCUUCAUUGAGCUUUGCGAUAUGCAAAAUAAAAGAGAUGUGGAUAAUGACGUGAUUAAAUUGAAGCUUUUUCCUUUCUCGCUGCGAGAUCGUGCGGAAACUUGGUUUUCUUCUUUGCCUAAAAAUAGUAUCAAUUCUUGGGAUAAGUGCAAAGAUGCUUACAUAUCUAAGUAUUUUCCGCUAGCUAAGAUUAUCUCUCUAUGUAAAGAUAUCAUGAAUUUCAAGCAACUUGAUCAUGAACACGUUGCACAAUCUUGGGAGAGGAUGAAGUUAAUGAUUAGAAAUUGUCCCGCUCAUGGCUUGAGUUUGUGGAUGAUUAUACAAAUCUUUUACGCUGGUUUGAAUUUUGCUUCUCGCAAUAUCUUGGACCCUGCCUUAGGUGGAACGUUCAUGAAACUCACAUUAGGAGACGAAAACUCCUAGACAAUAUCAUGACCAACUACUCGCAGUGGCACACUGAAAGGUCACCUGCUAGCAAAAAGGUACACGCUAUAGAAGAAAUUAACUCGCUUAGUGCUAAGAUGGACGAGUUGAUGAAUUUGGUUGCUAGUAGAAAUGCUCCUUUAGAUCCUAAUGACAUGCCAGUAUCUUCCUUGAUUGAGAGUAGCAACGCUAGUUUGGACGUUAAUUUUGUUGGUAGGAACAAUUUUGGCAACAACAAUGCUUUUAGAGGAAACUAUGUUCCUAGGCAUUUUCCUAGUAACUCCUCUAAUAAUUAUGGCAAUUCCUACAACAACACUUAUGGAAAUCACAACAAAUUACCCUCUGAUUUAGAGAGUAAUAUCAAAGAGUUCAUCAACUCUCAAAAGAUUUUCAAUGCGUCCAUAGAGGAAAAACUACUCAAAAUAGACGAUUUGGCUAAGAGCGUUGAUAGGAUGUCUUGUGAUAUUGAUGCUUUGAAAGUUAGAUGUGCUCCUCCCAAGGUCAACUUGGAUGAAACUUUAAAAGCUAUGCGUCUCUCUAUGAAUGAGAGCAAAGAAAGAACCACCCAAAUUCGCGCUAGGCAUGAAUGGUUUAAAAGGGUGCGUUCUAGUGAUGCAAAUCACGAAGAUCUUAAAGUGCUUGGUGUGACUCCUCUUGAAUCUUUGUUUUCGCGUGUCAAACCUAUUGAUGAAGGGGCUGGAUAUGAAUCCACUUUGGUUGAAAAACGCCCCAAUGAUUCGGAGUCCACCUAUCUUGAUGAUAAAGGUGUGGAGAGUGGAGUAGAAGAAAUCAAAAUAUUGGGUAGUAAUGAAACUCCCACUUUGGAUUUCAAGGAAUUCAAUUAUGAUAGUUGCUCCUUGUUUGAAUGCAUUUCUUUGAUGCAAUCCAUUGCAAACUCUCCACAUGCUUAUAGCCCAAGCAAAGCCUUUACCGCUCAUAUCGUAGAUGCUAUGAUGAAAUCUCUUGAAGAGAAACUCGAACUAGAAGUCUCUAUACCUAGAAAACUUCAUGAUGAGUCGGAACCUACUAUCAAAAUCAAAAUCAAAAACUAUGAAUGCAAUGCUUUGUGUGAUUUGGGUGCUAGUGUUUCCGCGAUUCCAAAGUCUUUAUGUGAUAUUCUUGGUUUUCAUGAGAUUGAAGAGUGUUCUAUUAAUUUGGAUCUUGCGGAUUCUACUGUCAAGAAACCCAUGGGAAGGAUCGAUGAUGUUCUUAUCGUUGCAAAUAAGAACUAUGUACCCGUGGAUUUCAUUGUACGUGGCAUAGAUUGCAAUCCUUCAUGUCCCAUUAUUCUUGGUAGACAUUUCCUAAGGACUAUUGGUGCUAUCAUCGAUAUGAAGGAAGGGAAUAUUAGAUUUCAAUUUCCUCUAAAGAAGGGCAUGGAGCAUUUUCCUAGAAAGAAAAUAAGAUUGCCUUAUGAAUCUAUGAUGAGGGCUACUUAUGGUUUGAGCACCAAAGAUGACUAUACGUGAUUCCAUGACCUUUUGCCUAGCUAAGGGCAUUAAACAAUUGCGCUUGUUGGGAGGCAACCCAACAAAUCUACCCUUUUUCUUUCUGUUUUGUGUUUUCCACACUUUCAUAAUUCUGUUAUGAUUGUGUUUUUGUGUUUCUUUUUGCGUUUGUGCCAAGAAAAACCGUUAUGAUUAGUCUUGGGGAUGAUCGUUUGCUCAUGCUAGAAAAGACAGAAACUUUCUGCUCACGAAAAGAAUUUUCAUUUUUUUCUUCUGUAAGAGCUUUUCAGUUGAUUCUUUUUGCUUCUUAUUGCUAUGCAAAUUGUUCAGAUUGUCGUAAUUUUUGAGAAUUUUUGAAGUACCAGAAGUAUACGAAGUAUACAGAUUGCUACAGACUGGUCUGCUGUUAACAUAUUCUGUUUUUGUUGAGUUGGUUGCUUAUUUUGAUGAAACUAUGUAUAGUAUCGGGGGGUAUUAGCCAUGGAAUAUUGAAAAUACAGUAACCCAACAUCAACAUAUGUAGAAUUUAAGUUUGCUAUAGUACCUAAGGAAGUGGUGGUUUGCUUUCUUAUACUAAUCAUAUCACGAGUUUCUGUUUAAGUUUCGUGUUGUGAAGUUUUCAAGUUUUGGGUGAAGUUCUUAUGCCCAAAGAGAUAAAGAGUGGCAAGAGCUCAAGCUUGGGGAUGCCCCGGGAAGGCAUCCCCUCUCUCGUCUUCAAUCCAUCGGUAACGUUACUUGGGGCUAUAUUUUUAUUCACCACAUGUUAUGUGUUUUUGCUUGGAGCGUCUUGUAUCAUAGGAGUCUUUUAUUUUUAUUGUGACACAAUCAUCCUUGAUGCACACCUAGAGAGAGAGACAUGCACUCACCGUGAUUUUGUCGAGCUUCACUUAUAUCUUUUGGUAGACAAUUCAGCUCACAUGUGCUUCACUUAUAUCUUUUGAGCUAGAUACUUUUGCUCUAUGUGCUUCACUUAUAUCUUUUAGAGCACAACGGUGCAUGGCUUGGUAGUUUAUCUAUGCUUUGAAAGUAGUCUCAAAAGGGGUAGUUACCCAAAGGGAUACGAAAACUUCCACCUUCAUGUGCAUUGAAUAGUUAGAGAAGUUUGAUUCAUCUCAAUUAGUUUUGAGUUCUGGUUAUGGUAACAUUGAAGUCAUGUUAGUAAGGUGUUGUGGAUCUAGAAAUACUUGUGUUGAAGUUAGUGAUUCCCGUAGCAUGCACGUAUGGUGAACCUCUAUGUGAUGAAAUCUGAGCAUGAUUAGUAUAUUGAUUGUCAUCCUUAGCGUGGCGGUUGGGAUCGCGCGAUGGUUUAUACCUACCAACCCUUCCCCUCGGAGUACGCGUUGAAUGCUUUGUUUCGAUUACUAAUAAAACUUUUGCAACAAGUAUAUGAGUUCUUCAUGACUAAUGUUGAGUGCAUGGUUUAGAUGCACUUUCACCUUCCACCAUCACUAUCUUCUUAGUGCCGUGCAACUUUCGCCGGUGCACAAAACCCACCAUUAGCCUCCCUCAAAACAGCCACCAUACCUACCGACUAUGGCUUUUUCAAGUCAUUCCGAGAUAUAUUGCCAUGCAACUACCACCAUGACAUGUGCCACCACGUCUACAUUGCCAUUGCAUGAUCGUAAGAUAGCUAGCAUGAUGUUUCCAUUGAUGUCUAUGCCAUGCUAGAUCAUUGCCACGGUACAUUAACGAAGGCAUUUCAUAUAGAGUCAUAGUUGCUCUAAGUUUUGAGUUGAAAGUGUGAUGAUCAUCAUUAAUCAAGCAUUGUCCCAUGUGAGGAAAUAAAAGAGGCCAAAGAAGCCCACCAAAAAAUAAAAAAAGAGGCCAAAGAGCCCACCAAAAAAAAUGAGAGAAAAAGAGAGAAGGGAGAAUGCUACCACUUUUUCCACACUUAUGCAUAUUAAGCACCAUGAUCUUCAUGAUUGAGAGUCUCUCGUUUUGUCACCACCAUAUAGCUAGUGGGAAAUUUUCAUUAUAUAACUUUUCUUGUAUAUUCCAAUGAUAGGCUUCCUCAAAAUUGCCUUAGGUCUUCGUGAGCAAGCAAGUUGGAUGCACACCCACUAGUUUUCUUUAAGAGCUUUCACAUACUCGUAGCUCUAGUGCUUCAUUUGUAUGGCAAUCCCUACUCAUUCACAUUGAUAUCUAUUGAUGAGCAUCUCCACAACUCAUUGAUAUGCCUAGUUAAUGUGACUAUCUUCUCCUUUUUGUCUUGCAACCUCCACCACACUCCACACCAUCUAUAGUGCUAUAACCAUGGCUCACGCUCAUGUAUUGCAUGAGAGUUGAAAAGGUUUGAGAAAGUAAAGGUGUGAAACAAUUACUUGGUCAAUACCGGGGUUGUGCAUGAUUUAAAUUUGUUGUGCAAUGAUGAUAGAUCAUAGCCAGACUAUAUGCUUUUGUAGGGAUAACUUUCUUUUGGCCUUGUUAUUUUGGAAGUUCAUGAUUACCUUGCUAGUUUGCUUGAAUUAUUAUUGUUUCCACGUCAAUAACAAACUAUUGUUUUGAAUCUAAUGGAUAUGAACAUACACGUCACAUAAGAGGAAUUACAAAGGACACCUAUGCUAGGUAGCAUGAAAGCAUCAAAAAUUUAUUCUUUAUCACUUCCCUACUCGAGGACGAGCAGGAGUCAAGCUUGGGGAUGCUUGAUACGUCUCAAACGUAUCUAUAAUUUUUGAUGGUUUCACGCUGUUAUCUUGUCUUCUUUGGAUGUUUUGUGAACCUUUUUAUAUCUUUUUGGGACUAACUUAUUAAUUCAGUGCCAAGUGCCAGUUCCUGUUUUUUCUAUGUUUUUGACUCUUUUCAGAUCUGAUUUUGGAACGGAGUCCAAACGGAAGAAAAACCCCGAAAUGAUUUUUUUCCGAACGAAAGAAGAUCAGGGGGCCUUUGGGCCAAGCCAGGUGGGCUCCAGGGAGCCCACAAGCCCCCACUCUGCCACCAGGGGGAGGCGGCGGUUGCAGGGCUUGUGGCCUCCCUGGCCGCCCCCUGACCUAGAUCUUUGGCCUAUAUAUUCCCAAAUAUUCAGCAAAAAAUCAGGGGAGCCUCGAAAUACUUUUCGGCCGCCGCAAGCUUCCGUUUCCGUGAGAUCUCAUCUAGAGACCCUUCCCGGUGCCCUGCCGGAGGGGACUUUGGAGUUGGAGGGCUUCUUCAUCAUCAUCAUCGCCCCUCCAAUGACUCGUGAGUAGUUCACUUCAGACCUACGGGUCCGUAGUUAGUAGCUAGAUGGCUUCUUCUCUCUCUUGGAUCUUCAAUACAAAGUUCUCCAUGAUCUUCAUGGAGAUCUAUCCGAUGUAAUCUUAUUUGGCGGUGUGUUUGUCGAGAUCCGAUGAAUUGUGGGUUUGUGAUCAGAUUAUCUAUGAUAUAUAUUUGAGUCUUUGCUGAUUUCUUAUAUGCAUGAUUUGAUAUCCUUGUAAGUCUCUCCGAGUCUUGGGUUUUGUUUGGCCAACUAGAUCUAUGAUUCUUGCAAUGGGAGAAGUGCUUGGUUUUGGGUUCUACCAUGUGGUGACCUUUCCCAGUGACAGUAGGGGCAGCAAGGCACACAUCAAGUAGUUGCCAUCAAGGGAAAAAAGAUGGGGUUUUUUAUCAUUGGUUUGAGAUUAUCCCUCUACAAAAUGUCAUCUUGCUUAAGGCGUUACUCUGUUCUUAUGGACUUAAUACACUAGAUGCAUGCUGGAUAGCGGUCGACGUGUGGAGUAAUAGUAGUAGAUGCAGACAGUAUUAGUCUACUUGUUUUGGACGUGAUGCCUAUAGGUAUAAUCAUUGCAUAGAUAUCGUCAUGACUUUGCGCGGUUCUAUCAAUUGCUCGACAGUAAUUUGUUCACCCACCAUCUACUUGCUUUCAUGAGAGAAGCCACUAGUAAACACUACGGCCCCCGGGUCUAUUCACAUCCAUCAUUUGCACCUCCGCUUUUACUUUGCUUUGUUACUUUGUGGCUUUCAGUUCUCACUUGGCAAACAAUCUAUAAGGGAUUGACAACCCCUUCAUAGCGUUGGGAGCAAGCUUUUGUGUUUGUGCAGGAUCUUGAGAUACUCCUCCACUGGAUUGAUAUCUUGGUUCUCAAACUGAGGGAAAUACUUACCACCGCUGUGCUACAUCACCCUUUCCGCUUCGAGGGAACACCAACGCAAGGCUCCAAGGCCAUGGGGAAAUCCUUUGCAUACUUGCUUAGGAAGUCCCUUAAGGCGUAGCCGCAACUGAAGGAUUCCUGGUGCCGUUGACACGACAAUUUCUGGCGCCGUUGCAAGGGAAGCACAGCUGACAUCAGUGCUCAAGAAAAAGCAGCGAAGAAAUAGCCCCGGUUCAUAAUACGAAACGGGACUAAUAGCCCUCUCCCCUCGCUCCCAGCCCCGCCACGUGGAAGGUCAUUAGCCCCGGUUCGGGAGCGAACCAUGGCUAGCAUUAGUCUCGGUUUUUUAGUCCCGGUUCGUGAACCGGGACUAAUGGUCCAACCGAACCGGGGCUAUAGGCCCUUUUUCUACUAUUGGGUACUGGCCAUGGACCCAUAGGUGUGUGGUGAACUACUCACAUAUCAUCAUGAGGUCAACAUGGUUGAUAAAGAGGCCCUCCGUGAUCGAUCCCCCCUGUAGGGUGUCAGAACGGAGCUCGAGAUGGCCACUCGUCGGAACAGAGACUAGCGGUGGCGUAAAAAGGGUUUCGGGACUCCUUCUGGUUUGUUUAGGGUAAAAGAGAACUUAUAAGCCAGAAAAUGAAAUCGGGAGGGCCACGAGGGAAACACAAGCCAUCACGGCACCCCCCAGUUCGCACCCUAUACUAUCGAGCGACCUCGAGCCUUCUUCCUAUACUCCUAGGUGUUGGAUACAUAGACAAAACACCGUCCCUAGCAUGCCUCUAGUUGGCUAGCCAGUUGAUCGAUGAUAGUCAGUGUCUUCUGAUUAUAAACAAGGUGUUUUUGCUUGAUAACUGGAUCACGUCAUUGGGAGAAUCACGUGAUGGACUGGACCCAAACUAAUAGACGUAGCAUGUUGAUCGUGUCAUUUUGUUGCUACUGUUUUCUGCGUGUCAAGUAUUUAUUCCUAUGACCAUGAGAUCAUAUAACUCACUGACACAGGAGGAAUGCUUUGUGUGUAUCAAACGUCGCAACGUAACUGGGUGACUAUAAAGAUGCUCUACAGGUAUCUCCGAAGGUGUUAGUUGAGUUAGUAUGGAUCAAGACUGGGAUUUGUCACUCCGUGUGACGGAGAGGUAUCUCGGGGCCCACUCGGUAAUACAACAUCACACACAAGCCUUGCAAGCAAUGUAACUUAGUGUAAGUUGCGGGAUCUUGUAUUACGGAAUGAGUAAAGAGACUUGCCGGUAAACGAGAUUGAAAUAGGUAUGCGGAUGCUGACGAUCGAAUCUCGGGCAAGUAACAUACCGAAGGACAAAGGGAAUGAUAUACGGGAUUAUACGAAUCCUUGGCACUGAGGUUCAAACGAUAAGAUCUUCGUAGAAUAUGUAGGAUCCAAUAUGGGCAUCCAGGUCCCGCUAUUGGAUAUUGACCGAGGAGUCUCUCGGGUCAUGUCUACAUAGUUCUCGAACCCGCAGGGUCUGCACACUUAAGGUUCGACGUUGUUUUAUGCGUAUUUGAGUUAUAUGGUUGGUUACCGAAUGUUGUUCGGAGUCCCGGAUGAGAUCACAGACGUUACGAGGGUUUCCGGAAUGGUCCGGAAACGAAGAUUGAUAUAUAGGAUGACCUCAUUUGAUUACCGGAAGGUUUUCGGAGUUACCGGGAAUGUACCGGGAAUGACGAAUGGGUUCCGGGAGUUCACCGGGGGGGGCAACCCACCCCGGGGAAGCCCAUAGGCUUUGGGGAGACACACCAGCCCUUAGUGGGCUGGUGGGACAGCCCCAAGGGGGCCUAUGCGCCAAGAGAAGAAAAUCAAAGGAAAAGGAAAAAAAGAGGGAAGAAGUGGGAAGGGAGGGGGACUCCUCCCACCAAACCAAGUCCAGCUCGGUUUGGGGGGGAGUCCUCCCCCCCUUGGCUCGGCCGACCCCUUGGGAGUCCCUUGGACCCCAAGGCAAGGUCCCCGUCCCUCCUCCUAUAUAUAUGGGGCUUUUAGGGCAGAUUUGAGACGACUUUCUCACGGCUGCCCGACCACAUACCUCCAUAGUUUUUCCUCUAGAUCGCGUUUCUGCGGAGCUCGGGCGGAGCCCUGCUGAGACAAGAUCAUCACCAUCCUCCGGAGCGCCGUCACGCUGCCGGAGAACUCUUCUACCUCUCCGUAUCUCUUGCUGGAUCAAGAAGGCCGAGAUCAUCGUCGAGCUGUACGUGUGCUGAACGCGGAGGUGCCGUCCGUUCGGUACUAGAUCGUGGGACUGAUCGCGGGAUUGUUCGCGGGGCGGAUCGAGGGACGUGAGGACAUUCCACUACAUCAACCGCGUUCUCUAACGCUUCUGCUGUACGAUCUACAAGGGUACGUAGAUCACUCAUCCCCUCUCGUAGAUGGACAUCACCAUGAUAGGUCUUCGUGCGCGUAGGAAAAUUUUUGUUUCCCAUGCGACGUUCCCAACAGUGGCAUCAUGAGCUAGGUUCAUGCGUAGAUGUCUUCUCGAGUAGAACACAAAAGUUUUUGUGGGCGGUGAUGUGCAUUUUGCUGCCUUCCUUAGUCUUUUCUUGAUUCCGCGGUAUUGUUGGAUUGAAGCGGCUUGGACCGACAUUACUCGUACGCUUACGAGAGACUGGUUUCAUCGUUACGAGUAACCCCCUUUGCUCAAAGAUGACUGGCAAGUGACGGUUUCUCCAACUUUAGUUGAAUCGGAUUUGACCGAGGAGGUCCUUGGAUGAGGUUAAAUAGCAACUCAUAUAUCUCCGUUGUGGUGUUUGCGUAAGUAAGAUGCGAUCCUACUAGAUACCCUUGGUCACCACGUAAAACAUGCAAGAACAAAAUUAGAGGACGUCUAACUUGUUUUUGCAGGGUAUGAUUGUGAUGUGAUAUGGCCAACGAUGUGAUGUGAUAUAUUGGAUGUAUGAGAUGAUCAUGUUGUAAUAGAAAUAUCGACUUGCACGUCGAUGGUACGGCAACCGGCAGGAGCCAUAGGGUUGUCUUUAUACUAACAUAUGUGCUUGCAGAUGCGUUUACUAUUUUGCUAGGAUGUAGCUUUAGUAGUAAUAGCAUAAGUAGCACGACAACCACGAUGGCAACACGUUGAUGGAUGAUCAUGGUGUGGCGCCGGUGACAAGAAGAUCGUGCCGGUGCUUUGGUGAUGGAGAUCAAGAAGCACGUGAUGAUGGCCAUAUCAUGUCACUUAUGAAUUGCAUGUGAUGUUAAUCCUUUUAUGCACCUUAUUUUGCUUAGAACGACGGUAGCAUUAUGAGGUGAUCUCUCACUAAAAUUUCAAGACGAAAUUGUGUUCUCCCCGACUGUGCACCGUUGCUACAGUUCGUCGUUUCGAGACACCACGUGAUGAUCGGGUGUGAUAGACUCAACGUUCACAUACAACGGGUGCAAAACAGUUGCGCACGCGGAACACUCGGGUUAAGCUUGACGAGCCUAGCAUGUGCAGAUAUGGCCUCGGAACACAUGAGACCGAAAGGUCGAUCAUGAAUCAUAUAGUUGAUAUGAUUAGCAUAGGGAUGCUUACCACUGAAACUAUACUCAACUCACGUGAUGAUCGGACUUGGGAUAGUGUAAGUGGAUCAUGAACCACUCAAAUGACUAGAGAGAUGUACUUUUUGAGUGGGAGUUUAGCAUAUAAUUUGAUUAAGUUGAACUCUAAUUAUCUUGAACAUAGUCUAAGUCCACUUUGAAUAUAUUUGUGUUGUAGAUCAUGGCUCACGCAAGUGUCAUCCUGAAUUUUAAUACGUUCCUAGAGAAAGCUAAGUUGAAAGAUGAUGGAAGCAACUUUGUAGACUGGGCUCGUAAUCUUAAGCUAAUCUUACAAGCUGGAAAGAAGGAUUAUGUCCUUAAUGCUGCGCUAGGAGAUGAACCACCCGCUACGGCUGAUCAGGAUGUUAAGAACGCUUGGUUAGCACGUAAGGAGGACUACUCAAUAGUUCAAUGUGCAGUCUUGUAUGGCUUGGAACCGGGACUUCAACGUCGCUUUGAGCGUCAUGGAGCAUUUGAGAUGUUCCAGGAGUUGAAGUUUAUCUUUCAGAAGAACGCCCGGAUCGAGAGGUAUGAGACCUCCGAUAAAUUCUAUGCUUGCAAGAUGGAGGAAAACUCGUCUGUCAGUGAACAUGUGCUCAAAAUGUCUGGGUACUCAAACCGUCUAGCUGAACUGGGGAUUGAACUCCCGCAAGAAGCUAUCACCGACAGAGUCCUUCAAUCACUGCCGCCAAGCUAUAAAGGCUUUGUGUUGAACUACAACAUGCAAGGGAUGAACAAGUCUCCUGUUUGCGAUGCUGAAAGUCGCAGAGUCUGAACUCCGUAAAGAGCAUCAAGUGUUGAUGAUGAGCAAGACCACUAGUUUCAAGAGAAACGGCAAAGGAAAGAAGGGCAAUUCGAAGAAGAGCGGAAAGCCUGUUGCCAAUCCGCCGAAGAAGCCCAAAGCUGGACCUAAGCCUGAAACAGAGUGCUUCUAUUGCAAGGGUAUGGGUCACUGGAAGCGCAAUUGCCCCAAGUAUCUGGCAGAUAAGAAGGCGGGCAAAGAAAAAUAAGGUAUAUUUGGUAUACAUGUUAUUGAUGUGUACUUAACCGGCUCUCGUAGUAGUGCCUGGGUAUUUGAUACCGGUUCUGUUGCUCACAUUUGCAACUCGAAGCAGGAACUGCGGAAUAGACGAAGGCUGGCGAAAGACGAAGUGACGAUGCGCGUAGGAAACGGUUCCAAGGUUGAUGCAAUCGCCGUCGGCACAGUGUCACUUCAGCUACCAUCGGGAUUAGUGAUGAACUUAAAUCAUUGUUAUUUAGUGCCUGCGUUGAGCAUGAACAUUAUAUCUGGAUCUUGUUUAUUGCGAGACGGUUACUCUUUUAAGUCUGAGAAUAAUGGUUGUUCUAUCUUUAUGAGUAACAUCUUUUAUGGUCAUGCACCGAAUGUGAGAGGAUUGUUCAUAUUGAAUCUUGAUAGCGAUACGCAUAUACAUAACAUUGAGACCAAAAGAGUUAGAGUAAACAAUGAUAGCGCCAUAUUUUUGUGGCACUGCCGCUUGGGUCAUAUUGGUGUAAAGCGCAUGAAGAAACUCCAUGCUGAUGGACUUUUGGAGUCACUUGACUUCGAUUCACUUGACACGUGCGAACCAUGCCUUAUGGGCAAGAUGACUAAGACUCCGUUCUCCGGAACAAUGGAGCGUGCAAGUGACUUGUUGGAAAUCAUACAUACCGAUGUGUGUGGUCCAAUGAGCGUGGAGGCACGCGGCGGAUAUCGUUAUUUUCUCACCUUCACUGACGAUUUAAGUAGAUAUGGUUAUGUCUACUUGAUGAAGCACAAGUCUGAAACAUUUGAAAAGUUCAAGCAAUUUCAGAGUGAAGUGGAAAAUCAUCAUAACAAGAAGAUCAAGUUCCUACGGUCUGAUCGUGGAGGUGAGUAUCUGAGUUUCGAGUUUGGUACUCACUUAAGACAAUGUGGAAUUGUUUCGCAGUUAACACCGCCUGGAACACCACAACGUAAUGGUGCGUCCGAACGUCGUAAUCGUACUUUAUUAGAGAUGGUGCGAUCUAUGAUGUCUCUUACUGAUUUGCCGUUAUCAUUUUGGGGUUAUGCAUUGGAAACAGCUGCAUUCACUUUAAAUAGGGCACCAUCGAAAUCCGUUGAGACGACACCAUACGAACUGUGGUAUGGCAAAAGACCAAAGUUGUCGUUUCUUAAAGUUUGGGGAUGUGAUGCUUAUGUCAAAAAGCUUCAGCCUGAAAAGCUGGAACCCAAAGCGGAAAAAUGCGUCUUCAUAGGUUACCCAAAAGAGACAGUUGGGUACACCUUCUAUCUCAAAUCCGAGGGCAAAGUGUUUGUUGCUAAGAACGGAACUUUUCUCGAGAAGGAGUUUCUCUCGAGAGAAUUGAGUGGGAGGAAGAUAGAACUUGACGAGGUUGUCGAACCUCUCAUCCCUCUGGAUGGUGGUGCAGGGCAAGGGGAAACCUCUGUCAUUGCGACGCCGGUUGAGGAGGAAGUUAAUGAUGAUGAUCAUGAAACUCCAGUUCAAGUUUCUGUUGAACCACGCAGGUCCACGAGAUCACGCGCUGCUCCAGAGUGGUACGGUAAUCCCGUCUUAUCAAUCAUGUUGUUAGACAACAAUGAACCUGCAAAUUAUGAAGAAGCAAUGGUGGGCCAGGAUUCCAACAAAUGGCUAGAAGCCAUGAAAUCCGAGAUAGGAUCCAUGUAUGAGAACAAAGUGUGGACUUUGGAGAUACUACCUGAGGGCCGCAAGGCUAUUCAGAACAAAUGGAUCUUUAAGAAGAAGACGGACGCUGACGGUAAUGUGACCGUUUAUAAAGCUCGACUUGUGGCAAAGGGUUUUUCACAAGUUCCAGGAGUUGACUACGAUGAGACCUUCUCACCCGUAGCGAUGCUUAAGUCCGUCAGAAUCAUGUUAGCAAUAACUGCAUUUUUCGAUUAUGAAAUCUGGCAGAUGGAUGUCAAAACGGCGUUCCUUAACGGUUUCCUUAAGGAAGAGUUGUAUAUGAUGCAACCCGAAGGUUUUGUCGAUCCUAAAAAUGCUGACAAGGUGUGCAAGCUCCAGCGAUCCAUUUAUGGACUGGUGCAAGCAUCUCGGAGUUGGAACAAACGCUUUGAUGAGGUGAUCAAAGCAUUUGGGUUUAUACAAGUGGUUGGAGAAUCUUGUAUUUACAAGAAAGUGAGUGGGAGCUCUGUGGCGUUUCUAAUAUUAUAUGUGGAUGACAUAUUACUGAUUGGAAACAACGUAGAUCUUUUGGAGAGCAUAAAAGGUUACUUGAAUAAAAGUUUCUCUAUGAAGGACCUAGGAGAAGCUGCUUACAUUCUAGGCAUUAAGAUCUAUAGGGAUAGAUCAAAACGCCUGAUAGGACUUUCACAAAGCACAUACCUUGAUAAAGUUUUGAAGAGGUUCAAAAUGGAACAGUCCAAGAAAGGGUUCUUGCCAGUUUUACAAGGUACGAGAUUGAGUAAGACUCAGUGCCCAGCAACUGAUGAAGAUAGAGAGCAUAUGCGCUCCGUCCCCUAUGCUUCAGCCAUAGGUUCUAUCAUGUAUGCGAUGUUGUGCACUAGACCGGAUGUUAGCCUGGCCAUAAGUAUGGCAGGUAGGUUCCAGAGUAAUCCAGGAGUGGAUCACUGGACAGCGGUCAAGAAUAUCCUGAAGUACCUGAAAAGGACUAAGGAGAUGUUUCUCGUGUAUGGAGGUGACGAAGAGCUCGCCGUAAAGGGUUACGUCGAUGCAAGCUUUGACACAGAUCUGGACGACUCUAAGUCACAAACCGGAUACGUAUUUAUUCUUAAUGGGGGUGCAGUAAGCUGGUGCAGUUCCAAGCAAAGCGUCGUAGCAGAUUCUACAUGUGAAGCGGAGUACAUGGCUGCCUCGGAGGCGGCUAAGGAGGGUGUCUGGAUGAAGCAGUUCAUGACGGAUCUUGGAGUGGUGCCAAGUGCACUGGAUCCAAUAACCUUGUUCUGUGACAACACUGGUGCCAUUGCCUUAGCAAAGGAACCAAGGUUUCACAAGAAGACCAGACACAUCAAACGACGCUUCAACCUCAUCCGCGACUACGUCGAGGAGGAGGACGUAAAUAUAUGCAAAGUGCACACGGAUCUGAAUGUAGCAGACCCGCUGACUAAACCUCUUCCACGGCCAAAACAUGAUCGACACCAGAACUAUAUGGGUGUUAGAUUUAUUACAAUGUAAUUCACAUGGUGAUGUGAGGGCUAGAUUAUUGACUCUAGUGCAAGUGGGAGACUGUUGGAAUUAUGCCCUAGAGGCAAUAAUAAAUGUAUAGUUAUUAUUAUAAUUCCUGUAUCAAGAUAAUAGUUUAUUAUCCAUGCUAUAAUUGUAUUGAAUGAAGACUCAUUUACAUGUGUGGAUACAUAGACAAAACACCGUCCCUAGCAUGCCUCUAGUUGGCUAGCCAGUUGAUCGAUGAUAGUCAGUGUCUUCUGAUUAUAAAUAAGGUGAUGUUGCUUGAUAACCGGAUCACGUCAUUGGGAGAAUCACGUGAUGGACUGGACCCAAACUAAUAGACGCAGCAUGUUGAUCGUGUCAUUUUGUUGCUACUGUUUUCUGCGUGUCAAGUAUUUAUUCCUAUGACCAUGAGAUCAUAUAACUCACUGACACCGGAGGAAUGCUUUGUGUGUAUCAAACAUCGCAACGUAACUGGGUGACUAUAAAGAUGCUCUACAGGUAUCUCCGAAGGUGUUAGUUGAGUUAGUAUGGAUCAAGACUGGGAUUUGUCACUCCGUGUGACGGAGAGGUAUCUCGGGGCCCACUCGGUAAUACAACAUCACACACAAGCCUUGCAAGCAAUGUAACUUAGUGUAAGUUGCGGGAUCUUGUAUUACGGAACGAGUAAAGAGACUUGCCGGUAAACGAGAUUGAAAUAGGUAUGCGGAUGCUGACGAUCGAAUCUCGGGCAAGUAACAUACCGAAGGACAAAGGGAAUGAUAUACGGGAUUAUACGAAUCCUUGGCACUGAGGUUCAAACGAUAAGAUCUUCGUAGAAUAUUUAGGAUCCAAUAUGGGCAUCCAGGUCCCGCUAUUGGAUAUUGACCGAGGAGUCUCUCGGGUCAUGUCUACAUAGUUCUCGAACCCGCAGGGUCUGCACACUUAAGGUUCGACGUUGUUUUAUGCGUAUUUGAGUUAUAUGGUUGGUUACCGAAUGUUGUUCGGAGUCCCGGAUGAGAUCACAGAUGUUACGAGGGUUUCCGGAAUGGUCCGGAAACGAAGAUUGAUAUAUAGGAUGACCUCAUUUGAUUACCGGAAGGUUUUCGGAGUUACCAGGAAUGUACCGGGAAUGACGAAUGGGUUCCGAGAGUUCACCGGGGGGGGGGGGGGCAACCCACCCCGGGGAAGCCCAUAGGCUUUGGGGAGACACACCAGCCCUUAGUGGGCUGGUGGGACAGCCCCAAGGGGGCCUAUGCGCCAAGAGAAGAAAAUCAAAGGAAAAGGAAAAAAAGAGGGAAGAAGUGGGAAGGGAGGGGGACUCCUCCCACCAAACCAAGUCCAACUCGGUUUGGGGGGGAGUCCUCCCCCCCUUGGCUCGGCCGAUCCCUUGGGAGUCCCUUGGACCCCAAGGCAAGGUCCCCCUCCCUCCUCCUAUAUAUAUGGGGCUUUUAGGGCAGAUUUGAGACGACUUUCUCACGGCUGCCCGACCACAUACCUCCAUAGUUUUUCCUCUAGAUCGCGUUUCUGCGGAGCUCGGGCGGAGCCCUGCUGAGACAAGAUCAUCACCAACCUCCGGAGCGCCGUCACGCUGCCGGAGAACUCUUCUACCUCUCCGUCUCUCUUGCUGGAUCAAGAAGGCCGAGAUCAUCGUCGAGCUGCACGUGUGCUGAACGCGGAUGUGCCGUCCGUUCGGUACUAGAUCGUGGGACUGAUCGCGGGAUUGUUCGCGGGGCGGAUCGAGGGACGUGAGGACGUUCCACUACAUCAACCGCGUUCUCUAACGCUUCUGCUGUACGAUCUACAAGGGUACGUAGAUCACUCAUCCCCUCUCGUAGAUGGACAUCACCAUGAUAGGUCUUCGUGCGCGUAGGAAAAUUUUUGUUUCCCAUGCGACGUUCCCAACACUAGGUCUUCUUUUGGUCUAGAAAAAAUCAUAAAAAAAUUCAGGCCAAUUGUGCUUCGUUUGCUAUGGAAAACAUGAAAAGUGAAAAACAUGCACAAAACUGCAACUGGCACUGGGCACUUGAUCAAUAGGUUACUGUUCAAAAAUAAUAUAAAUUGGUAAAUAAAUACCCCAAAAGUAUUCUAAAAUGAUAAUAUAUCAGCAUGGAAUAAUAAACAAUUAUAGAUACUUUGGAGAUGUAUCAAGCAUCCCCAAGCUUAAUUCAUGCUCGUCCUCGAGUAGGUAAAUGAUAAAAAUAGAAUUUUUGAUGUGACAUGUUAUCCAUGAUGUAACCUUAUGCAUGUAUGAUCAUUGAGAAACGAUGAAUUAAUAAAUAUUAACACAUCAAUACUAAUAACCCACAAGUAUAGGGUAUCAAUUGUAGCCUUUCUUGAUAAGUAAGAGUGUCGAACCCAACGAGGAGCUAAAGGUAGGACAAAUAUUCCCUCAAGUUCUAUCGACCACCGAUACAACUCUACACACACUUCACGAUCGCUUUACCUAGAACAAGUAUGAAACUAGAAGUACUUUGUAGGAGUGAUAGGAUAGGUUUGCUAGAAAAGAAAGAACACGUAAAUAAAAACUAGGGGCUGGUUAGAAACAAUUACGUUAGUUUAAUGAGUGUGGAAAAGUGGUGGUAGGAGUUGCGGAAUUGUCCCUAAGCAAUUGACUACGUUACUAGACCGAUAGCAAGUUUAUAUGGGAGAGGCCACUGCUAGCAUGUCAUCCCUUACUUGGAAUUCUAUGCACUUAUGAUUGGAACUAUUAGCAAGCAUCCACAACUACUAACAUUCAUUAAGGUAAAACCCAACCAUAGCAAUAAGAUAUACUAGUCCCCCUUCAAUCCCAUAUGCAUCAAUUUCUAUGCUAGGCUGAAGCUUCUGUCACCCUUGCCCUCCAAUACAUAGUCCUAUUAACAUACUACUAACCCUAUGGUGUGAUCCACGCGCGCGCUCAUAUGAUGGGCACCAAAGGACAGCAACAUAACCACAAGCAAAUUAAACCAAUCAUAGCAAUUCAUCAAUCACCGAUAGGACAACGAAAAUCUACUCACACAUCAUAGGAUGGCAACACAUCAUUGGAUAAUAAUAUGAAGCAUAAAGCACCAUGUUCAAGUAGAGGGUACAGUGGGUUGUGAGAGAGUGGACCGCUGAAUAUAGAUAGGGGAAGGUGAUGGAGGUGUUGGUGAAGAUGACGGAGGUGUUGGUGUAGAUCGCUGUCACACGAUGAUGUCCCAAACGGCGUUCCAGCGCCGCCGGGAGAGAGGGGGGAGAGCCCCCCCUUCUUCUUCUUCUUCCUUGACCUCCUCCCUAGAUGGGAGAAGGGUUUCCCCUCUGGUCCAUGGUCUCCAUGGUGGCGGUGGGGCGAGAGCCCCUCCGAGAUUGGAUCUCUCUCUCUGUGUUCUUCUGUUUUUGCGCUCCCAGAUUCUGCCUUUCACCGUUUCUUAAAUUCCCGGAGAUCCGUAACUCCGAUUGGGCUGAAAGUUUAACACAAUUUUCUUCCGGAUAUUAUAUUUAUGGCGGCGAAAAAGGGACCCAACCGUCUUAGGGAUUGGUCACAAGCCUGUCAGGCGCGACCCCACCCCCAGGUCGCGGCUAGGGGGCUUGUGCCGCCUCGGGCAUCGUUUCGCGUUGAUUCUUCUUCCCAAAAAUCAUAAAUAUUCCAAAAAAAAUCCCCGUAGGUUUUUUAUUGCGUUUGGACUUUGUUUGGUAUGGAUAAUCUGCGAAACAAAAAAACAUGCAAUCAACAGGAGCUGGCACUCGGCACUGGAUCAAUAUGUUAGUCCCAAAAAUAGUAUAAGAAGUUGCCAAACGUAUAUGAAAGUUGUAGAAUAUUGGCAUCAAACAAUCAAAAAUUAUAGUUACGACGGAGACGUAUCAAAUACUUACAGGUAUAAGAAGCAAAAUCAUUAAUCUUUGAAAGUAUACAAUCUCAAAGAUUGUUUUACCCCUAUCCAUCUUAUAAUAUUAGCAAGGCAUGGCUCCAUCUUCACCACAGUAAUACAAAUGUCAAGCACCAUGGUGUAUAAGUCGGGCAAUUGGAUUGUACUUUUUCAAUAUGCAUCAACUUUUUAUUCUUCAUGCAACACAUGAGCAUGAACCAUUGGACAUAGCAUAAAUAUGGAAUAAAAUAUGGUGGUAGAUUUCAAAGGGGUAAAGGUGGAGAAGAUAGUCUCACAUCAACUAGGCGUACCAACGGGCUAUGGAGAUGCUCGUCGAAGAUAUCAAUGCAAGGAGUAGGGAUUGUCAUGCAAAUGAUGCACUAGAGCUAUAAGUGUAUUGAUACGUCUCCAACGUAUCUAUAAUUUUUGAUGGUUUCAUGCUAUUAUCCUGUCAAACUUUGGAUGUUUUGUAUGCCUUUUAUAUCUUUUUGGGACUAACUUAUUAACUCAGUGCCAGUUCCUGUUUCUUCCGUGUUUUUGACCCCUUUCAGAGGAGGAUUUUAAAUGGAGUCCAAACGGAACGAAACUUCCAAAAAGAUUUUUUCCGAAACAGAAGAAGAUCGGGAAACUUGAGAACCAAGGCAGGGGGCCACCAGGGACCCCACAAGCCCCCUAGCCGCGGCCAGGGGGGCCCACGCCUCCCAGGGUUGUGGGCUCCCUGGGCCACCUCUGCCCUAGGUCUUUCGCCUAUAUAUUUCCAAUAAUUCCAUAAAAAUUCACGAGAUCAUCGAAAGUACUUUUCCGCCGCCGCAAGCUUCUGUCUCCGCAAGAUCCCAUCUCGGGCACGUUCUGGUGCCCUGUCGGAUGGGGAUUUGGAUAUGGAGGGCUUCUUCAUCAACACCAUGACCUCUCCAAUGAUGCGCGAGUAGUUCACCAUAGACCUACGGGUCCAUAGCUAGUAGCUAGAUGGUUUCUUGUCUCUCUUGGAUCUUCAAUACAAAGUUCUCCAUGAUCUUCAUGGACAUCUAUCCGAUGUAAUCUUCUUUUGUGGUGUCUUUGUCGAGAUCCGAUGAAUUGUGGAUUUAUGAUCAGAUUAUCUAUGAAUCUUAUUUGAGUUUCUUCUGAUCUCUCUUAUGGAUGAUUUCAUAUCCUUGUAAUUCUCUUCGAGUUGUGGGUUUUGUUUGGCCAGCUUGAUCUAUGAUUCUUGCAAUUGGAGAAGUGCUUGGUUUUGGGUUCAUACCGUGCGGUGACCUCACCCAGUGAUAGAAGGGGUAGCGAGGCACGCAUCUUGUUGUUGCCAUCAAGGGUAAAAAGAUGGGGUUUUCAUCAUUGGUUUGAGUUUAUCCCUCUACAUCAUGUCAUCUUGCUUAAGGCGUUACUCUGUUCGUCGUGAACUCAAUACACUAGAUGCAUGCUGUAUAGCGGUCGAUGUGUGGAGUAAUAGUAGUAGAUGCAGAAAGUAUCGGUCUACUUGUCUCGGACGUGAUGCCUAUAUGUAUGAUCAUUGCCUUAGAUAUCGUCAUGACUUUGCGCGGUUCUAUCAAUUGCUCGACAGUAAUUUGUUCACCCAUCAUAAUAUUUGCUAUUUUGCGAGAAGCCUCUAGUGAAAACUAUGGCCCCCGGGUCUACUUCACAACAUAUUUUCAGCCUUACACUUUUUCUUCGUUGCACUUUCCGUCUUCAGAUCUCACUUUGCAAUCAAUCUUGAAGGGAUUGACAACCCCUUUAUAGUGUUGGGUGCAAGCUCUUUUGUGUUUGUGCAGGUACUCUAGACUUGACGAGCUUCUCCUACUGGAUUGAUACCUUGGUUCUCAAACUGAGGGAAAUACUUACUUCUCCUGUGCUGCAUUGCCCUUUCCUCUUCAAGGGAAAAACCAACGCAAGCUCAAGAGACGAGAGAAGAUUUCUGUCGCCGUAGCAGAAGAAUUUCUGGCACCGUUGCCGGGGACGAUUUAGUCAAGAAUAGUAUCCUGUCAACGUGCCAAUUUCUGGCGCCGUUGUCGGGGAGGAUCAAGUCAAGAAUAGUCUCUUGUCAACGUGCCAAUUUCUAGCGCCGUUGCCGGGGAGGAUCAAGUCAAGAACUCAUCCAAGUAAGUGUCGCAAACUCAUCUCUUGCAUUAACCUUUUUUGCCUCUCGUUUUCCCCUCCCCCACUUCUGAAAAACAAAAAAUUACAAAAAAUAUUUGCCUUUUUCGUUUGCCUUUUUUCGUUUGCCCUUUUUCUCUCGCUUGUUUUCUGUUCAUUUGUGUGGGAUAGUCUACCUGCCCUCAUGGCUAGAUCCACCACUUCGAACGAUACUCCCGAGAACGAAGUUCUCAAUUUCAAACAAAUUGAGGAAGAAAACUUAAAGGACGCUUGGUAUAGGAUUUGCAAUGCUCAGAGUAGAUCUACUCAUAAGCAAUCCACUACCGUGUGCUUCACAGUUUUUAUGUGGGUAUUUCUCCUUGGAAUAGGUAUAUUAUUGACACCAUCGUAGGCGUAAAUUUCUUGGGUAGCCAUACCUUUGAUUCUUACGGAGUUGUAAUAAAUUUGGUAGGCUCACCCCCACUCAUGGUUAAUGUAACUACCUUAACUCUAGAACAUGUGAUGCGUAGGCUGGACGUCAUUGAAAAAAAGUUGCUACGAUCGAACUUAUUGAGAAUUUGGAUAAAAAGAUCCACAAUCAAAUAAAUCAGUAUGGAUCCAAGGUGGGAAUGGUUUUGAAAAAUUUAAAGGAGAAGGAACCCACAGUUAACGAAAAACUAGGUCAUGAUUCCGCUAGGAUUGGCAAACUAGAGGACGUUAUAACCAACUUGGGUUCCGCUUUUGCCGCUCUGCAGAAUACUCCAAACUUUGCCCACAAUAAGGUUACCAAGUAUGUUUUUGUUCCUAAAAAUAGUGGUGAAUCAUCUAGAAAGAAAGAUGAAAACCUUAAUAUGAUAAGUGAUCACGCUACGUAUGGUUUGAGCACCAAAGACGACGAUACAUGAUUCCAUCACCUUAUGCCUAGCUAAGGGCGUUAAACAAUUGCGCUUGUUGGGAGGCAACCCAAUGAAUUUAUCUUUUUCUUUCUGUUUUGUUGCGUCCACACUAUCAUAAUUCUGUUGUGAUUGUGUCUUUUGUGUUUCUUUUUAUGUUUGAGCCAAGCAAAACCUUUAUGACUACUCUUGGUGAUGGUUGUUUGAUCCUGCUGGAAAAAGACAGAAACUUUUCGCUCACGAGAUUAUUUUUCAUUUUUAUUCAGAAAGAGAUUUUGAGUUGAUUCUUUUUGCACCUGAUUUAUAUGCCUUUGGCCCAGGCAGUCGUAAGUUUUCAGAAUUUUUGAGGUACCAAAAGUAUACGAAGUAUACAGAUUUCUACAGACUGGUCUGUUUUUGACUGAUUAUGUUUUUGUUGAGUUGGUUGCUUGUUUUGAUGAAAAUAUGGAUUGUAUCGGGGGGUACUAGCCAUGGAAAAGUGAUAAUACAGUAAUCUAACACCAAUUUAAAUAGAAAUCAAGAUUGCUACAGUACCUAAAGAGGUGGUAGUUUGUUUUCUUGUGCUAAUGUUAUCACGAGUUUCUGUUUAAGUUUUGUGUUGUGAAGUUUUCAAGUUUUGGGUGAUGUUCUCAUGGACAAAGAGAUAAGGAGUGGAAAGAGCUCAAGCUUGGGGAUGCCCAAGGCAUCCCAAGCCAAAUUCAAGGACACCAAAAAGCCUAAGCUUGGGGAUGCCCCGGGAAGGCAUCCCCUCUUUCGUCUUCAAUCCAUCGGUAACAUUACUUGGAGCUAUAUUUUUAUUCACCACAUGAUAUGUGUUUUGCUUGGAGCGUCUUGUAUCGUAGGAGUCUUUUAUUUUUGUUGUGUCACAAUCAUCCUUGCUGCACACCCUUUGAUAGAGACAUGCACUCAUCAUGAUUUUGGUAGAAUGCUGAUAGUGCUUCACUUAUAUCUUUUGAGCUAGAUAAUUUUGCUCUAUGUGCUUCACUUAGAUCUUUUAGAGCACGGCGGUGCGUGACUUGGUAGUUGGCUUGUGCUAUGAAAAUAGUCCCCAAAGGUGAUAGGUACCCAAAGAGGAUACAAAAACUUCCAUAUUCAUGUGCAUUGAGUAGAAAGAGAAGUUUUGAUUCCUCUCAAUUAAUUUUGAGACGUGGAUUUGGUAAUAUUAAGAGUUAUGUUAGUAGGGUGUUGUGAAUCCAGAAAUACUUGUGUUGAAGUGAGUGAUUCCCGUAGCAUGCAUGUAUGGUGAACCGCUAUGUUAGGAAGUCGGAGCAUAAUUGAUCUAUUGAUUGUCAUCCCUUGUGUUGUGGUUGGGAUCGCGCAAUGGUUAACACCUACCAACCCUUCCCCUAGGAGUAUGCGUUUAGCACUUUGUUUCGAUUACUAAUAAAAACUUUUGCAACAAGUAUGUGAGUUCUUCAUGACUAAUGUGAGUCCAUGGUAUAGAUGCACUUUCACCUUCCACCAUUGCUAGCCUCUCUAGUGCCGCACAAUUCUCGCCGGUGCACAAACCCACCAUAUGCCUUCCUCAAAACAACCACCAUACGUACCUACUAUGGCAUUUUCAUAGCCAUUCCGAGAUAUAUUGUCAUGCAACUCCCACUGUUCUGUCUCAUGACUUGUGCCAUCACUCUCAUAUUGCCAAUGCAUGAUCGUAAGAUAGCUAGCUGAUGACCCACAAGUAUAGGGGAUCAAUCAUAGUCCUUUCGAUAAGUAAGAGUGUCGAACCCAACGAGGAGCAGAAGGAUCUCACAAGUGGUUUUCAGCAAGGUAAAAUCUGCAGGCACUGAAAUUAUCGGUAACAAAUGAUUGUGUGGUGAGAUGAUUCGUAGCAAGCAACAAGUAACAAAAGUAGCAACGGUGCAGCAAAGUGGCCCAAUCCCUUUUGUAGCAAGGGACAAGCCUGGACAAAGUCUUAUAAGAGGAAAAACGCUCCCGAGGACACACGGGAAUUUCUGUCAUGCUAGUUUUCAUCAUGUUCAUAUGAUCCGCGUUCGUUACUUUGAUAGUUUGAUAUGUGGGUGGAUGUAACAUCCCAAUUUUCCUAAUUGGGAAUGUUUACAUUGUAGCUAAGCAUCUAUGCAUAAGUGAUUGAAAUAAAUUUAGCUCGUGAUUUUUCCUUCGUUUUUGUUUUGCAUUUCUAUCGCACGAGAAAUGCCCGGAGAAAACUCUCUUGCACGCAAGAGAGAGAGCGGAGGAAAAUGACACUCCAAAAGUGCGGGCAAUUUUUGAAAUGUUGGAGCAAAGAAAAACCCAAAGUUCUUUUGGAAAAAUAAUUGCAAAAAGAAAUAAAGCAAAUUGGGAAUUUCUGAAAAAAACAUUUUUUAAAAAGUUUUUAUUUUGGCUUUAAUAAAAUGUUAUUUGGGUAGAGAUUCUUUUUCUGUUUUUUUUGAUAUAUAAUAUCAUAUAUAAAUAUAUUGAUUUUUUUUAGCUUUUGUAUUUUUUUCUGUUUUGGAAAGUUAGACAAUAGGAAGGAUUUUUUUUACCUAACCGCCGCCAUGGGCGUGCCUUGCCACGUGGGAUCAAAUCCCAUGCCCCUGCCCGACCCCCUCCUCUACCUGGCCUGCGGGUCCCACCGAGCCCCCUCUCUCCACGUCUCCUUCCUUCCUCUCUCUUCUCUCCUUUCCUCUCUUUCUUUCUCUGCACCAAACCGAGCCGCACCUCCCUCACGAUCUUUUCCCCGUUUCUCCCUCUCCUCUCUUAACUCUCCCUCCCUCCUCUCACUGCCCAAGGGCCCCGCUGCCCGAGAUUUCUUCCCCGCCGUCACCUUUCCUUUCUUCUACCUCCCUCCUCCUUCCAUACUUCUUCUCCCAGCGCACCCGAGACCGACCCCUUCUCCCUCGCGAUUUCCUUCCCCAUAGCUCCCUCUCCUUCCUUAUACCUCACCCCUCCCAGCCUAUAUAUACCCCCCACCUCGGCCACCCCGUUCCCAACCCUAGUCGCCGCCGCCGCCACGUCUCCUCGCCGCCCGAAGCUUUGCCACUGUUGCCGCCGGUGCAAGGCUGCACCCUCGGCCUCGCCCUGGAGAGCUUCCCCCCGAGCUCUCUCUCCCCGAGCNCCGCCACCUCCCCCGAAGCCCCACCGCCCCCCGGAGCUUCCCCCCCCUCGCCGGCGACGCCCUCCCCCGCCGGAGCAGCAUCAGCAGCAAGGUAGCCCUCUCUCUCUCUCUCCUCGUCAUUGCAUGUACUCAUUGAUAGCCCUUAGAUCCCAUGCAACGGCCAGGAUUAGAUCACCAGGUAACCCUUCGGUCUAAAUAAGAAAACCAGUGGUUUUUUCUUGUCACUUAAGUUUUAACCGGCGACUUUGCUAACCUUCGGCCGUUUGCCCGUAACUUUGAAACAAACAGCCCCGCAGCCAAUAAUAUCGUGACACGUGUAACUCUCUGUUAGCUCUAGUAGUUUUGUGUUUUUCUGUCUUUAUUACAAAAACAGAAACUUUUAAUUUUGUUUUGGCCACAACUUUUUAUCCCUAAGUCCAUUGACAUUGAUUCUUUUUCCAGUAGCUCACAAAUUUCCUGUAGUUUGUAAAAACAUAUAGUUUGUCUAUGUUUGAAAUUCUUAAAUAUAAGUUAGAUCAGAUUUAGUUUAAACCUUGUUCUGCCUAUUCCAGGAGUUUGAAAAAUGAUUUUGAGUUGAUUCUUUUUGCUAAUGUUUUCUAGUGAUAAAAUCUUACUGUGGUAGAAGUUUCAGAAUUUUUAAAGUAUUUUUACUGGUGUUUUCAACAGAAACAAGUUUCUGCCUUACCGGCGCGUGUUGAAUUCCUUUACGUAGGCUUUAGCAAAUACUUGCAUGUGAUGUUAUUUUUACUUGUGGCAUGAUUGAAUUGCUUAUGGUGUGCUUUGUGUUUGUAUCGGUAGAUCAUCCGGAGUGCAAAGUGUGUUACUUAGAGAUGCUCGAACAGGACAACUAUCAUCAAGGCAAGUCAUUUUGAUCAUACUAUCACCUAUGUUUUAUGCAUCGUAGUUCUACCAUCCUAUGCCCAAUUGCAUGCUGCUUAGGUACUUGGAAAUUUCAGUAAAGGUUGUAGUAUCAUGUGGUAGGCACACAACAACCCCGAUACUUGGCCCCGGGACGACAAAUUUCAUAUUGCUAUGCUUGAGUAGACGGGAUUUCGGUUGAGUGCAUAACACGAGUGAUGCAAGGUUGAUUAAAUAAUCAAGACUGGUUAAGACAAGAUUUUCAAGACCUCGGACGCAAUGCAACUCUGGGUGAAGGACGGUUGAUCGGCUCCCUGGAGAACCCAGUGGAUGACCCGGGAUGCUGGAGAGGCCAUGACAUCCUGCGGAAAGCUUCACCCAGGCUCAAAGAGACGGACGGAUAUUUUCAAGACUCAAGGCUUACCUGCACAGCCACAAGUCAUUAUGGGCUCUGGCUUGGUUGGACAACGCGGCGACUCUGGACAGGCGGUGCUAGCAGAUGUAGACGAACGGUAGGAAUGGAUGGGCACCGACAGGGAUUCAGAGGGACCCGUUGAAAGACCAUGUUUUGAUCAUCCGGUCUUCAAACACCCUGAAGUGCGAGGACAAACCCGGAGGCGAUCAAAUCUUGUGGGGAACGUGUGCAAAACUCUGCAGAGUACUCAACCUAAUCGAUUAGCCGUGUCCACGGUCAUGGACAACUUGAGCCGAAGGCAUUGAAUUUCCCCUGAACUCUCGACACAACUUAAUAAUGAUGUGGGUGUUAACAACUAUUCGGGUACGAGAACUGGUUGGCGGAACCAUCUCGUUAACAACAAACUAUGUAGUAAUAUUUUGCUUUCAACCCCUCUUGUUGUAGGAUAAAACUGGCUUUAUGCAAAACUAGCUCCACCGGCCAAAUAUGCAUGUAGAGAUAGUUGAUUAUUAUUUUACUCCCUCUCUUUGAUGAUUUGCCGGCAUAUUCAAUAUGCUGACCUACACGGCUGCAACGUAUCAUGUUGCAGAGUACUUUUCCGACCAGGAGUGAGGCUACGUUCUACGCUCAGCGACAUGCCCUUGGAGUCGGAUGGACUCGUCUACCUGAUGCUUUCGCUAGUCUUCGUUAGGUAUCUCAAGAGAUGGCCUUCAACCACUUUAUUGUAAUCCUUUAUUGUAAUAAAGUACUCUUUAUGAGAUUUCGAUUAAUAAAGCUGUGUGAUUGAACUCUUGGAUAUAUACAUUAUGUACUGUGUGUGUACCAGCAUGAUCUUGGGAUGGUACGGAAACACCAGAGGCUUGACUCGUCUUGAGUCGGGUCGCUACAGAAAUGGUAUUCAGAGCACACGCUGACCUUAGGACGUAACCUCUAGGAAUGGAAAAGCCUUAGGAAGAAAACUAUUUUUCUCUUAUGUCUAUAAAUCUUCUAUUUCCUCUUCUGAUCAUUUCUGACUUCUCUCUGAUUUUCCAAUGUUUAGAUGGCCACCUUCAUCCCUGUUAAGUUCACGGAGUUUUGCCAGCCCGACACCACUAUGCCGUUCGGAAAGGAGCUGGUGCAGAUCACCAAGGACUUGAGGAUUGCUCUGCCGACUAUCAGAGGGAAACCAACUUCGUCUUACCCGGAGGAUUCACGCUACAGGAUCGAGGUGCACAUUCCCGGAAGGACAUUCCGGCCGCGCACUGAGCCGAUGGAUUUCAAGUUCAUCGCACCCAACUGGAUUCUCGGAAGGGACAUGGCGAUCCAUUGUGCACUCGGACGUAUCAAGGAAGAAUACAAAGGCUGCCCUAUUUCUCCAGACCUAUUCACCGUAUCUCGGAAAAACGAAGACGGAGAAAUCAUCUCAAGCAAGACCAAGGACGCUCUCUUGUCUUAUGCCCAGACCUUGGAGAAGUACAGCGGGACUCUGGAACAUCACGUGAUCAAGGACGCCAGGAAGAUCAAGCAACUGUCACUCCGCGAGCUCGAACUUGAAGAUGCAGCCCGGGAAGCCCACUAUGAACAUGAACUAGAAGUGAAGGACUUUCUGGAACGGAUCGAGAAGCUGAAGACUCGAGUUGCACACCUGGAGGAGGAACUGUACAUGGGCAAGAACCUUCAUCCCGAAGGAGACGUAGCCCCCGUGAUCAGCAACGAAUAGGACUAUGAAGAAAGCUCCACCGAAGGACCCGACACCAUGCUAUUCUGAGGAGGACACUUAGACUAGACCACCAAAUUUAUUUGAUCGUUUUACGUUUUAGGCCGAUGUUUAGGAUUAUCGAAUUUUGUAUCCCCGUGUGAACCUUUGUGAUGAUAUUGAAUGAAAUGUGUGGUGUGAUACUUGUGUGUUGCAUUCAUAUUGGUAGUGUAAUUCCCUCUAGACCAUUGUUCUAUGCUAAUCUCACCCCCUCCACAAACAUCAGAUUCCUCCGAGACGCGCCCCUGAGUCCAACUUUCCGCCGGAACUCACCCAGUUGAUCCAGCAACAAAACACCUUGAUGCAGCUGAUCAUUUAGAACCAGAACAAUAACAACAACCAUCACCCACCCCAGGCCGACAAUCUCACCCGUUUCUUGAGGUUGAACCCUCCAACUUUCUCCAGCAGCAUUGAGCCCAUUGUGGCAGAUGAUUGGCUUCACAAGAUGGAGCGUGAACUUAUCACCGCUGGUUGUUCUGAAGCUGAGAAGGUGCGUUUUGCCGCGCAUAAACUUGAAGGCCCUGCAGCUGCUUGGUGGGAGAACUACACCACCACUUAUCCCAUUGCUGGAGUCACUUGGGAGCAAUUCAAGCAAGCCUUCCGCAGCGCGCAUGUCUCAGCUGGUGCAAUGAGUCUGAAGAAGCAUGAGUUUCGCAACUUAUGCCAGGGGAAUCGCUCUGUGGCCCAGUACAUUGAUGAAUUCAGCAUGCUCGCCCGUUAUGCACCUGGAGAUGUGGCCGAUGAUGUGGCCAAGAAGGAAAAGUUCUUGGAAGGACUGAAUGAUGAGCUGAGCAUUCAGUUGACGGUAGCCACCUUCAACAACUACCAGGAGCUGGUUGAUAAGGCCCUCAUCUUGGAGGGAACACAUCAGCAGAUGAAGAACCACAAGCGAAAGUAUGGGGUUGGAAAGUUCAACUCCGGCACUCAGCAGAAGCCUCGCUACACCCCUUACCCAGGGAAUACCGGGUCUGGAUCCGGUAAGUUUGGAGGACACGUUCAGCAUAAUCACCCGGUGCACAACCAUGGAGGCCACAACCAUGGAGGUAAUGGGAACCACCGCAACAACAGCAACUUCAAGAAUGGCGGUACUGGCACUCAGCAGCAUUCAGCUCCAGCUCAAAAGGAUCUGACUCACAUCACUUGCUUCAAGUGUCAGAAGACGAGACACUAUGCCACUGAUUGUCCCCAGAACAAGCAGGGAAAUGGAAACGACAACGGCAACGGCAACUCUGCAGCAAAGAAGCCCAAUCCUUUUCCUCGAGCUCAGGUGAACCACAUUGAUGUUGAAGAGGUCUAUGAUCACCCCGAUACUGUGGUUGGUAAGUUUUUGCUAAAUUCACGUCCAGUAUUGGUACUUUUUGAUUCUGGUGCGCAUUCAUUCAUAUCGAGGGUAGUUGUGGAAAAGUAUAGUUUGCCAACUAGAACCCUCAGCCAGCCUAUUAAGGUCAGUUCCCCAGGAGGCAUGAUGACAGCCAGGAUAGGAUGCCAUGCUUUGAGUCUCAACAUCGGGAACCAUAAUUUUCCCACCGACCUCAUCGUAUUAGAGUCCCAGGGAUUGGAUGUAAUCCUAGGCAUGGAUUGGUUGGCCAAGUAUGAAGGGAAUAUUGAUUGUGCCCUUAAGUCUAUUUUGCUCACCAUCCCCGAGCAGAAGUGGAUUAAGUACAUGUCUCAGCGCCCGACACGGAGUAAGCGAGUAAACUCUCUCACGGGAGUAGUCCAGGAGGAAGUACCGAUUGUACAGGAGUACCCAGAUGUAUUUCCGGAGGAAUUGCCGGGCAUGCCACCCAAUAGAGAGAUUGAGUUCCUGAUUGAGCUAUUACCCGGAACAGCCCUGAUAUCCAAGAGACCCUAUCGAAUGCCCGCAAAUGACUUGAUAGAAAUCAAGAAGCAAAUUAAGGAGUUAUUGGACAAAGGGUAUAUUCGCCCAAGUUCUUCACCUUGGGGAGCCCCAGUGCUCUUGGUUGAAAAGAAGGACAAGUCCUUGAGAAUGGUUGUCGAUUACCGUGCAUUGAACGAUGUGACCAUCAAGAACAAGUACCCCUUGCCAAUGAUCAAUGAUCUGUUUGAUCAGUUAGUAGGAGCUCGUGUAUUCUCAAAGAUCGAUCUUCGAUCCGGGUAUCAUCAGUUGAAGAUUCGUGAACAAGAUAUACCCAAGACAACCUUCACCACUCGGUACGGCUUGUAUGAGUACACAGUCAUGUCAUUUGGACUGACUAAUGCUCCGACAUAUUUUAUGAAUCUGAUGAACAAGGUAUUUAUGGAAUACUUGGACAAGUUUGUCGUGGUGUUCAUCGAUGACAAACUGAUAUUCUCCAAGAACGAAGAGGAACACAAGGAACAUCUACGUUUAGUUCUGGAGAAGCUUNNNNNNNNNNNNNNNNNNNNNNNNNNNNNNNNNNNNNNNNNNNNNNNNNNNNNNNNNNNNNNNNNNNNNNNNNNNNNNNNNNNNNNNNNNNNNNNNNNNNGUUUGCAUCAGUCUUCUUCUUGAAGAUCCAUUUAUUUUCUAUGGCUCGCGGUCAUCGGCAAGUCCACCAAAGUCCAUACUUUGUUCUCAUACAUGGAUCCUAUCUCGGAUUUCAUAGCUUCAAGCCAUUUGUUGGAAUCCGGGCCCGCCAUCGCUUCUUCAUAGUUCGAAGGUUCGCCGUUGUCUAACAACAUGAUUUCCAUCAUAGGGUUGCCGUACCACUCUGGUGCGGAGCGUGCCCUUGUGGACCUUCGUGGUUCAGUAGUAACUUGAUCCGAAGCUUCAUGAUCAUUAUCAUUAACUUCCUCUUUAGUUGGUGCAGGCGCCACAGGAACAAUUUCCCGUGUUGUGCUACUUUCCUGUUCGAGAGGGGGUGUAAUUACCUCAUCAAGUUCUCCCUUCCUCCCACUUACUUCUUUCGAGAGAAACUCUUUCUCUAGAAAGGAUCUGUUCUUGGCAACAAAGGUUUAACCUUCGGAUCUAAGAUAGAAGGUAUACCCAAUAGUUUCCUUAGGGUAUCCUAUGAAUACGCAUUUCUCCGCUUUGGGUUCAAGCUUUUCUAGUUGAAGUUUCUUCACAUAAGCAUCGCAGCCCCAAACUUUAAGAAACUACAACUUAGGUUUCUUGCCAAACCAUAGUUCAUACGGUGUCGUCUCAACGGAUUUAGACGGUGCCCUAUUUAAAGUGAACGCUGCAGUUUCUAAUGCGUAUCCCCAAAAUGAUAGUGGCAAGUCGGUAAGAGACAUCAUAGAUCGUACCANAUUUUUCAAUAAAGUGUGAUUACGACGUUCAGACACUCCGUUGCGUUGCGGUGUGCCAGGCGGCGUCAGUUGUGGAACGAUUCCACGCUUCCUUAGGUGUGUGCCAAACUCGUGACUCAAAUAUUAUCCUCCACGGUCAGAUCGUAGACACUUAAUUUUUUUGUCACGUUGAUUCUCGACCUCACUAGGAAAUUCCUUGAACUUUUCGAAUGUCUCAGAUUUGUGCUUCAUCAAGUAGAUAUACCCAUACCUACUCAAAUCAUCGGUGAGAGUGAGAACAUAACGAUAGCCNNNNNNNNNNNNNNNNNNNNNNNNNNNNNNNNNNNNNNNNNNNNNNNNNNNNNNNNNNNNNNNNNNNNNNNNNNNNNNNNNNNNNNNNNNNNNNNNNNNNACUAAAAUACAUCUAGAUAUAUUCUUACGACAAGGUUUGCCUGUGGCCGCCGGUGGNNNNNNNNNNNNNNNNNNNNNNNNNNNNNNNNNNNNNNNNNNNNNNNNNNNNNNNNNNNNNNNNNNNNNNNNNNNNNNNNNNNNNNNNNNNNNNNNNNNNNNNNNNNNNNNNNNNNNNNNNNNNNNNNNNNNNNNNNNNNNNNNNNNNNNNNNNNNNNNNNNNNNNNNNNNNNNNNNNNNNNNNNNNNNNNNNNNNNNNNNNNNNNNNNNNNNNNNNNNNNNNNNNNNNNNNNNNNNNNNNNNNNNNNNNNNNNNNNNNNNNNNNNNNNNNNNNNNNNNNNNNNNNNNNNNNNNNNNNNNNNNNNNNNNNNNNNNNNNNNNNNNNNNNNNNNNNNNNNNNNNNNNNNNNUAUAUAUUAUUUUUUUUCAUUAAUACAACAAAUAAUUCCGAACGGAAGAAGUAUUUAAGAACGGACCGAGUACAUCUAAGCAUCAUAUGUACUCCCUCUAUAAAGAAAUAUAAGAUCGUUUAGAUCACUAAAGUAGUGAUCUAAAUUCUCUUAGUCUUAUACUCCCUCUGUUCCAAAAUAACUGUCUCAACUUUGUACAUCUAAGCAUCAUAUUUCCAAAAUAACUGUCUCAACUUUGUACAUCUAAGCAUCAUAUGUACUCCCUCUGUAAAGAAAUAUAAGAUCGUUUAGAUCACUAAAGUAGUGAUCUAAAUUCGUCUUAUACCCCCUCUGUUCCAAAAAUAACUGUCUCAACUUUAUACUAGAUCUAGUACAAAAUUGUACUAAGCUUAAGAAACUUAUUUUGGAACGGAGGGAGUACUUCUUUACAGAGAGAGUACUUCGGUUAGAUAUAUAUAGUACAUGAAGCACUUUAAGCACCAUGGCUGCCAUGAAUGAGCUGAUACACUUCCGCAAACACAAGGCAUCCAAAAAUAUAUGCUUUUGAGGAUGGACAUCAAUACAACAAAAUAAGCAAUAAAAUUCUUUUAAUUGGUACAAAGCAAAAUUACAACCAUCGUGUUAUCCCUUGAAAAAGAACUUUGCUUUAAGCUUCAAACUCGGCCAGAAUGCUGCAAUGACUUCUGAGUUCCUUC
rnacentral:lncRNA from 1 species